ACAGCCUGUGCUUCCUCACGCAGCACUUCUCCAAGCUGAAGGUUCCCAAGCUGGCCCUGGUGUUCGACGGCGCCGACGCGACGAUGGAGCUCAAGGCGCAGAACUACUUCUGGAACGUCAGUGGCGGGCAGACGUGCCUCACCAUACUGCCGUCGACCACCGGCGGGUCCGUUCUAGGCAGCCUGCUGCAGACCGGCAGGACGAUGACCUACGACAUCCAUGGCGACGGCGGUGGCCAGCUGACGUUCUCGGGAGCUCCAGCGCCGGCGCAGGUGUCGCUGGCUACGCUUUUACUGGUGUGGGCGCUCCUCUUCUAGUUCCAGCUAGAUCAUGCCACCGGGCAAUAGCCUUAAUUAGCAUCAGGUUGCAGAGUGAAGUAGGUGGAAUGUAAUAAGCUUGGUUGAUGCUUAGCGCAUAGAAGUACUAGUAGUGUUGUUGGAUUGAAUUCCGACUUUUCAUUUCAAUCAUCCCGCUGCCACCACUCUAUGUUGAAUUGCAAUGCUCGAUCUGGUCUUGAUUUAGAACUUUGCUCCCCUAAGUUACUUCAAUCAAAUAUAUUUUGUGGUCAAUUUUCUAAUUGUUGAUUUCAAACUUAUAUGCAUGCACCUGGUAUUUUGGAAUAGAAUGGAAAAAAAGGAAGUAGCUUUUCGCUUUGCUUUUGUUCUUUCUCCUCUUUUUCUUUCCUUGUACUCUGAGUUGUUUUCGUCACUUCGGUCAGUUUUGAAAUACUUCCUCCGUUCACAAAUAUAAGAUGUUAUAACUUUUCUGAAUCGGAAUUAUAUAAACAAAUCUUAGUGUGUUUGUUUACUCAUUUUAGUCUGUAUGUCGUCUGUAUUAAAACAACUAAAACAUCUAAUAUUUGUGACGGGUGGAGUAUAUUAUAAGGUGGACCAUGCUCUUCCUUCAUAUCCAAUUUUUUUGAAGGAGUGCAAGUGUUUCAAAUAGAAAAUGUUAAUAUGUGUUCAUAAGUGAGUUCCGUUGACAAAAUUCGGGUAUGUAUGAUUCAACUAUUGAAACGAUGAUGUUCUUCCUCUGUAUGGACAUCACCCUCGUUACUUACUCAUAAGUCCCGUGUGAGCCAAUCUGCACAAAUGGCUUGAAGACCGCAAAUCAACAUGUACAUCGAGCUCAAUAUAAAAUGGAGGCGUUUGCAGAUCACAAACAUUAUGAUUGCUCGUUGUCGCCAGUGAUUAGGUAUUCCUUUGAAUUCAACUUACAUUAAAACUUCACUGGUGCAGCAUGCCAAUGCCAAGUUCGUUGGGUAUUUAAGCUCUUAUCAAAUGUUGGCGCCUAUCGAGAAUCAAGCUUGUCGACUGCAACUAAGCCAACUAUCGGAACAUGCGAAGACGCACCUGGUCCUCUAUGUGUUGUAGUAGCGGUCGUCAAGCACCAUACAUCAAGAACUGCCUCAGGUCUCGCACAAGCACAAAACACCAGAAGCUGCGGAGCUUGGUUCCAGAGCGCCGCCAGCGUCGCCUCGUCCAAUGGGCCAGAUCAACGCCAUGGGAGAACACACGGCUACCCCGCCGAAAAUCUUAUGUACCGAUUAUCACUUAUAGCGGUAUCCCUCUUGAUCGCCCACUACCAUAACAAGGUAUAGGCCGGCCCAUUAGAACUGAAACACUCGCGUUACCAACGAGAAUGGUUUUGGGAAGCUUCCGUGUUUUGUUUUAGGAACCUGCCCUUCAUUUUUUAUUGUUUAUCCCGGUUUUUCUUCUCUGUUUUUUCUUUACCCUUUUUAAUUCAUGAAUAUUUCUUGAAUUGGUGGAAUUUUUUCGAAUUAGUGAAGGUUUUCCAAACUUCUGAACUUUUUUCAAACACGCAAGGAAUUUUAAAAUUUGUAGUAUUUUCCAAAUCCAUAAAUAUUUCUCAAAUUCAUGAAUUUCAACAUUUUUGCAAAUCGGCAAAUGUUUUUCAAUUGCAUGAUUUUUUUUAAAUCGCAAACACCUUUUCAAUUCAACAUUUUUAACUUCAUGGAUAGUUUUUCAAAUCCGCAAACAAUUUUUCUAGAUCACAAACAUGUUUUAUCCACGGACUUUUUUCAAAUUCUCAAACAUUUUUUUGUUGUUCAUGAGUUUUUUUAGAUCCAUGACUAUUUUGUCAAUUCACCAACUUUUUUCGAGUUCGUGAACAUAUUUUGGAUUUACAAAGGUAUUUUCAAAUACAUAUUUUUUUGUAAAUCUAUGAACAUUUAUUGAUUUGCAAUUUUUAGUUCUCAAAUAGUUUUAAAAAUCACAUUUGACAAACAUUUCUUCACACAUGAGGCACGAAUAACACAUGGAUCAGCCGUUCUCAAAAUGUUGCUUUUCUAUGCCUUUUGAUCAGCAUUUCCCCGUUUUGGAUCAGUCGUUCUCAAAAUACACUAGAGUUGUAGUUAUAUGGCUAUAGGUUAGGUACAAUAUCAAAUAUUUUGUAGGUUUUGUUAUAUUUUCUUGACUAAUUAGUCUCGUAUGUUAAUAGUAUUACCUCCGUCCCAAAUUAAUUUUAGAUUUGUCUAGAUCAUUUCUAGAUACAUCGGUAUCUUAGCUAACAGAGCUUUACUUAAAAGAAAGGUGCCGACUGAAUUAAGCUAAUUUCUAGUACCUUCCUAUAGAAGAUCUUUGGAGACUUUGCAUGCUUGAGAUUUGUAUAUGCCAUUAAGUAUGAAUUGGUGAGCGCCUUGGAAAAGCAUUUGGAUUAGCUAGCUGCAUCUUAUGCAUGUACCCAGCCAAACCAAGAAUGUCUAAUUUUUCUUCUUGCCAUUAUACUACUAUUAUGGGAUAUGUGGAAUUGGUGGUUUUUUAGUAGUUCCAUGCAAAUGAAAUUGGGAGCUUAAGCUCCUUUGAUCCACAAAAAAUCUACUAGUACUAUUCUUACAUAUUUUUAACACAGAGCAAUGCAUUAAUAUCAAGUAAGAAGUACAAAUUACACCUGGCCGAAGAGGCAAUGGAGUCAUUUAAGAAGCGCAUAGCCAAAGCCGCUUGUGGAAGCAAUCUACGGCCACAAAGGCAUCCUUAUCGCCGGAUCCAACCAAUCCAACCAUGGGUGUGAUAAUCCUAACAAUUUUUAUUUUCCACAGUGGUAGGAUAAAAUGUUGCUUGUACUCCCUAAAAGUUUUUUUUUCAAGUACUCAAAUUCUCAAGAACAUCUUUUCCCGCCCGGUUAGAGAAAUCAUAGGAACUCUUUAGUCUUCUUAUCUCUUUUUUAGCGUUCUUUCGUCUUCUUAUCCUGCACUAACUUUCUCGUGUGCUACAAGUUUGGCUGGGAGCUCGUUGGACCAGUGGGAAAUCGCUGCGAAAAAUAAACACAAGCGCACACAAGUGUGAAUAAAAAAACCUUAAGCAAACAGGUACGGGUGAAAAAGACUGGGUGCUAAAAGUCAAAAGGAGUUCCUCUAUCUUGAUGUGGAGCUGAGUGAAUAAAUAAAAUUUCCAAAGAUAAGCAAACUUCGACUGGCUACUGCCUUCUUUUCUGGCAAAGCAAUGACUACUCCAUCUUUUUUGGCAGAGCACCCAAGGCAUGAGGAGUAAAAGCUACUGUCUAGUCAUUUUCAAAUUUCUAUUAGUUUCUUUAGAGAACCUUGAGAUAUAUUUGUCAUGCUUCAAAUAAUAUACGUAUGGAAACAAAUAUUGCAUCAGGAAACGGGAAAAGUAUUGAAAUAUAUAUUACUACUAUGGGAGCAUUGUUCAACUACACUUAUAGAGAUUUUUUUUAAAGAAAAGGCCAUUGCCCGACUUUAUAGAUAAAGCCAUACGAACGAGUACUGGAUCAACAAAGAUCCGCGACAACCAAGUCUCACAGCCACACGACAGCAUAGACAACCAAGAGUUUAUAGGCGGCAUGCAGGCCCAAAUGAGAUAAAGGGCCUGCGUGCCGCCUAUAAACUCUUAUAGAGAUCAACUACAGGAUGUUUUGCAUUUCGUGAGAUUUGACGGAGUGGCAUCCACCUGCACUUAUAGAGAUCAACUACUUUAUCAGACAUAGUGCAGGUGGAAACCAAAUCAUUUCUCUCCUCUGGUUAAUCUACAGGAUGUCUUGUAUUUUUAAUACUCCCUCUAUCCAUUUUUGUAAGACGUUUUAAACAGCAAACGUCUUAAAAAAAGUGAACAGAGGGACUAUGAUGAAAACCCCCGAUUAAUAAACAUAGCUAAUAAUAGAGGACGAGCAAAUUAAACGACCAAAUGUACUUUGUCAGAGUUUAUAGAUUCUCUCUCUACACUAGUUAACCUGUGAUCUACCAUUAAUGCAUAAUAAUAGAUAGAUAAAAUAGAUGAGUGUCUAUGCCAUACUCUUUGUUUAUAUAGUAAAAUAGAGCUUACACUGCUCACAUGAACCCUGAUAAUAAUUUGGUCUCACCUACCAUCCCCUUCUGGCUUAUGCUCUCCACUGUUCUUUUUAAACUACGCCUUGAUCAGUUUUGGACAAUGUGGGUUUGAUGGAGUGGCAUCCACCUGCACUAUGUUUGACAUCCCACUGGUUAUAUUACUAGUCACGGGCCUGAUUCGACUUUUCACUCUUUUUUUUCUUGGCAGUGAUUUGGUUUCCACUCUAGCUAGUUUUGUGGUAGCUGCAUGCAGAAAAAGAGGUGGUAACCUCACGCGGAGAACGUAUCUGGUGAAACGAGCGAACUCAUGCACCAGAUGCACCAGCGAUGUAUGGGUCGUUGGAUUCGAAACAGAGGGACAGGAUUCGGUCUGGUGCUGGGCUGGCAGUACAUUUGCAAAAUUGUCCUUGUAGUACACCUAAAUCCAGCGACCUGACCUCUCUGUUCCCACAUCGUCUUCCUCCCCUAGCCAGAUUCUGUGCGAGGCCUCUCUCUCAUCGCCUCGCUCCCUCUGCCCUUUCUUCUCUCCUGUGGCGCCGUAGUCCAUGGGAGCAGGGUUAGAAAAAUGUACCCAAUGUCAUCUCUCUCAAUCUCCUCCCUCUCAUGUACCUAGGCGAGGAUCUCCAGUAUAGAAGCUUAAUCUCGCCCUGUGUUCCUCUAAAUCGACUGUGCGCAUUGAUUUAUUUGGCAGCGAUGGCUCGUCAAUGUCCGCUGUCGGUCCGGGGCGUCGAUUCUACAGAGGUACAGGAGUUGAUGGUCUUCCGCGAUUCAACUAUGAAGGGUAUUAUCUUCUUCCCUUAUCCAUGAGUACAACUGUUCUUCCAAUCUGAUAGUAAUUUUCCCCAAUUCAUAUUUAUAAAUGUUUCCACAUGAUAGUUAGUACUUUUGUAGGAAGAAAUCAGUACUCUAGCAGUCAUCGGCUCGAGCUCAGUGGUAGCUGCUGAUUGCUCAAAAAUUGCUGCAAGAUUUACUGAAGAUAUCUUCCACUGCUGAACAUAUCUUCCACUGCUGCAAGAUUUGCUUUGUUCUACUGCAGUUAAUUCCCCAGCAGAAAAAUUGUUUAAUGAGUUUUAAGAUCCACUUCAUAGUUCAUACAUGCUAGACUUAGAACUAAUUUUUAUGUGAUCAAGCUGUGUCAUUAGUUUUAUUUUGCGCGAACUCUGUACUUUACAUCGUUUUCCCUUUAGUUUUUAGCCUUGGUUAAUUUUAGCCUAUGCCAUCCUUUCCCAGCUUUAAUCCAACAUUUACAAAGAAACUCCCGUUCAGUAUUAUUCCUUAUGAGUACUCCCUUAGUACUUUUGUCUCUGAAAUUCUAUUGGUGAUCUUUUUUACUUUUGCAUGCAGGACAUGUCAGGGAACUUCUCGAGAGUAAUAUCUUGAAAAAAAUUGGUUAACAGGGAGUUUGCGGACGUGCCUGCAGUAAAUUAUAUUUGCUGUGUUUUCUUCUGGUUCACUUUGUUGAUCUUAAAAAUGAUUCUGCACUUUGAUGUUCAAUUGAACUUUCUGAAAGCAUUACUAGUUCAUCUUAUUUAUGAAUUUUUUUCGUAUUGCAAUUCAUGUUCCAACAAUGCUUUUCGAAUCAACAAUACUGAUCUAGGGUACAUGUCCUGGAGUCAUCUUACCAAUUCUUGAUACAUGUAACUAUAGUACAUGUUAACUGUAAUUGGAGAUACUGAUUUCAGUAGAUGAUUCUUAACAGGGUGUGCAAGCGAGUUCGAGGCCCUGCGUCAUCCAGAAGGAACCAUGUUGUAAUUUCCCAUCUGCGCUAAUGCUCGAUCUACAAGUGCGACUGCUGGACGAGAUUUCUUUUGGCUGAUGAUUCUGCUUGUACGCUGGCCAGCCUAUGGCUAUCACUAUUUUUUUCCAAGUGUUUGUAGCCUGUGGCUAUCACUAUUUUUUUCCAAGUGUUUGUAAACUAAGUUUGAUGCUUGCGCCUGUGCUCACAUCCAAUAAAUCACUGUUUGUGCAAUUGUAGUUUCAUUCUAUAUAUAUAGGUACACUGUUCCCAAAUGUGUAUAUGACAGUGGUGUACAGCAGUGGCCCUAUCAAAAUUUCUGGAGCUUUUACAAUCAUAUGCUAAUUUGAGUAAACUUCUGCGAGACAAUUGCAGCCUCGAUGAAACUACUUUAGUACAUCUUGAAGCCUUAGUGCAACUUCUCCAUAUUAUUACACUUCAUAUGAAUUAUUAAUACUCUCAUACAAAAGCAUCUCUUAAUUCUGUCAUAUAAAUAAGCAAAUCUGGAAAAUGUCAUUCUUUUCCACAUAACAACCAUAUCGCAGAUUCGUCGGUUCACAAUAAGUUAAAGUGUCCCUUGCAAAAGAAAGAGAAAUAAAAUAAGCAGCUGCAGAUUUACAUAACUCAUGUCCGCUCUUUCUAUUCACCUAAAAAUGAGUCGAUCAGUCCGGCCCUAACUAGGCAGUCAACAUGCCUGGUCGUUUGGUAAUAAAGGAAAUUUUUGCCACUCCUCAAGUUAUGCACUCCAGGCUCCAGACUCAGGAGUACUACUCCAGCCAGAUGAGCUAAUCUGAUCCUAGGUAGGCUUAAUCACUACAGGAAGCUCAAGAUCACUCUUAACUCCGUAAAAUUUUACAAAACUUAAAACAAAAGCUUGGCCAAACAAAUGAAAUUAAGAUGAGACAUGCCUUCAUAUACAAUCUAAAGAAGAGUAACACUGCUACUUGAAAAGCAAUACAGAUUUCAAUACAACUUAAACAUUACAUAUUCUAUUGCAUUCUCUAUUCCGAGAUUUCCGGAACUUCAGGCAAAGGCCAUGUCAGAAUUUUCAUCGCUUCACUGCCAUAGGACCGCAAUCCAGCUACAAAUAUGCCUGAGAAUAAGACAUAGUAUUAUCGAACAUGUUCUCACUUAUCUUGAUAUUUUUUCCAGAUGAUGAUGCUAAAAUACAGAGCAAGAAAAAACAGAGGUAAAAAAAGAAUGGUGCUCAAUACACAUAGUAACAAGGUUUCACUAAUUCGGAAAGUAGUCACAUGAGCAUGACAUACAACAAGCUGGCUACAACUGACAGUAACACAGAAAGACAAACCAAAUCUUCAAAUCUACAUUAAGCUAGGCUUAGCAAUCCUUGCCAAGUUAUACAAUCUUUUCUUCAUAGUUAAACACGACUAAUGAGACAACAUGGUUUAGUAUUAGCUACUUCCUAAAGCUAACAGUAACCGCAUCCAGAGUCACAGACAUAGAACAUAUGCAUGCUUCAGUGACACACUUGCAAGUGUGAGCUCCUAGAAAGACCACAAGUCAAAAACCUCAUCGCCUACGAAUAUCACCGCCAUUCUAGCGAGAACGUAGCCAACCAAAUGACUUCAAAGAGUUAUUCAAACAUCGAACUAGUAAAACCACCGCCCCUACUUAUCUGGGACCUUUUGGAUGCUAUUUGCCCUGUAACAAAUAAGAAAACCACAUUAGCAAAACUGUAGAAAGGACAUCAACAUUUUUUCAAGGUUGCUUACUUUACCUCUUUUUCUUUUGGUUCACAGUCUGUUCUGAGCCCCUUUUCAAUCUCUUACCAGUCCCUUUUGUGUUCGCUACAUCUGGUGGAUGAAUAUUGAUCACACUUGGGAAUGAUGUUCCAACGAAGGAUUCAAAUUCUUGAACUUUACUUUGCUCACUAAUGGCACCCAUCUGUCCCAAUUGCGUGAAGGCAUCAGCAACAACCUUGUGAAAAUAUCUCAUUUUGUCCUCACAAUGUUUCGCUACAUGAAGUGCCAAGCUGAAUUUUGAACAUGUUUCCGAGUACAACUUUUUUAUGGUAGGUGAAAGACAUGUAGAUGGGCCUUCUAGCUCAUGUCCGUUGGCAUCAUAGGAAAGCUGACGUGCAACCAUUUUAGUCCACCUAUGCAACACAUAUUGACUAGGAAUUUCAUUACACCCCUCAUUCUUUAGGACAACAAUGAUGUGACGGCAGAUGAUACCCAGUGAUUCGAACAUCCUACAAGAACAGUGUGUUGCCUUGGUACUAGUGUUGAAAUUAACUACUCUAACCUUGCCACUCUUGCUGCUAAUACCAAUGGUCCGGACCUCACCAACCUGCACGAUUGAUUUAACAUGACAAUAAUCCCUUGCAGCCACCACCUGACGUUGAAAUUCAGCAAAAACCUCAUGAGUAUACACAUCUCUACCAUGAAUCUCGAUACUCCAACAAGUCUCAAGCAUAGGCAGUGUAUGGAGGCUGGCAUUGUCUUCUUGCAAUUCUUUUUGUCGUUGUUCCUCUAAAGCUGUUUCAAACCUGACCCAAAACUCAAUCAGUGUGCAAGAUUUCGGUUGGCAAAGUGUCUAAAGAAUGCAUUCUCACUCUCAGAUCUUGAUGUAGUACGCAAGAUUCCGCCAAGGGUGAUCUCCGUAAAAUAUGCCGGAAUCCAUGACUUGCGCGCCUCAUACUUCUCCUGCAACCAUGUAUUAUCUUUUAGCCCAAAGUCAGAUAUUAUUGAACACCAUUGUGACUCAAACUCACUUGGUGUCUCUGAUCCCCAAAUACAUGCCAUAAACCGUUCAUGAAAAUCUGGAUUAUUUUUCAUGGUGGCACCAACUUUUUCAGUAAGCUUCAUGAGGAUGUGCCACAUACAAAGCCUAUGUUUAGUGUUUGGAAAAACUUGUUCUAUCCCUAUUCUCAUGCUUUGGUCUUCGUCGUUCAUGAUGAUCUUAGGUGCAACCCCAGACAUUGCUUUCAAGAAAGUCUUGAACAACCAUAUAUAAGAUUCUUUCUUCACAUUCCAUAGAAAAGCUGCACCAAGCGUGACACAAGACCUGUGGUUGUUAACUCCUGUGAAAGGGGCAAAUACCAAGUUAUACCUAUUAAAGCGAUAUGUCGAGUCAAAAGACACAACUUCACCAAACAAUGAGUAGUUCUUUCUGCAUAUGCUAUCCGCCCAGAAAAUAUUUAUAAGUUUGUCAUUCUCAUCGACUUGGUAGUCAAAGUAGAAUGCUGGAUUGGCAGCCUGCUUCCUUUUCAUUAUAUCUACUAUGAUCUGUCCAUCUGCUCUCUUAAUUGCUCUUUUAAAAUCACGAUGAGAGUUCUGGAAGUCAUGCUUUGUGCAGCCCACAUUUUCCGGACCUCCCUUCUCUACACUAAGCAAGUGAUAUGCUGUAGAUGUGCCAACCAUUGCCUUAUGACAUGUAAGUAAUUUGCUUCUCAACUCACUACUUACUUCUCUAUUUGACUUGAUGAGAUGUCUCUUACUUGGCGAAAUAAGUUGGUGGGUGUGUGAUUGAACAAACCGGGCGACCUUAUAUUUGCCAUCAUCUUGCCUCUUCAAUCCAAUCAUAGCCUCACAACCACACCUAGUUAACUUGAAUUUUCUCUUCGGCUUUAUCCUUUCCUCUUCCCGGGCCACCUUCCUCCAACCCUCCCUAGCACAAACAAACCUCUUCCACAGUAUGCCAUGUUCAUCUUUGUGUGUUGUCCAUGUGCGAACCGAGAACCCGACUUCAUGAGCAUACAUUUUGUAGAAUGUCAUACCUUCCUCCCAGGUGUCAAAUUGCAUACCAAUUACGGGUUGUAAGUUAGGAUCACACUGAGGCUCAUAUCUUGACCCCUGGAGAUGCAAAAUAAAAAGAUGCUCGGUUCAGAAACUAGAGCUCAUGCAUUGGAUGCGAGUAAAAAACUACUUACACAAAACGGAAGACUGCUAGUUCAUGUUGGCGUGUGGUAGCUAUUUCCAUCGUUUUCGACCUGAUGGAUCAUGCCCUGGAAAUUUCAGAAAAAAAAACCAUCAGGUCACAUAAACAGUGUGAUGUACGUUUGUGACCAAUACAACAAAUAAAUUACCAGGGCGAAGCUGUUGGCAUCAUCUUCAACUCCCAUUGCUGUAGUUGACCCAAUGCUUAGAGCAGCACUUCUCAUGGACUCCAUGGCUGCUUAUUUUGUGCAAAUAUAACCGCAAAACAUCAAGAUUUUUUACUUGGAAUACGGACAAUGUGGAUUGUAGUUGCAGCAAGACAAAAUGAGAAACAUGGACAACUAGUAAUUAAACAGAAAGUUCAACUUAACAUGGUCAAGAGUUUUACAAAACGAGGAACAUGAACAACUAGCAUUACCAUAGAAAGUUCAAUUGAACAUUGCAAAAGUUAUUUCCAUUUCAUAUCAGCAAUGUGGAAGAAGUUCAUAAAAUACAUUACUAAUUCAUGGACAAGAACUGCGCAUGAACAAGCAGUAACUAACCCACUCUUGCCAUGUAGCAUGCUCCCAGGAAAUCAUUUCUUUCACAUACAUGCUGAGUCGUUCACAUACACACCUUACUAUUAAGUUAGCAAAGGUAUAUUAAAUUGUAUAUAAAGGAACAUAACACACAGAGCACAUCCCCUCAACUUUUUGCACUGAUUGUUCUGAUUAUUACUACAAUUUCACCAUUAUAUCUGCAUCUGACGCAUCAAUUUCAUGCCCAUACUAUUCAUAUUCCCAAAUGCCAGUGGCUUUAAACACAUGGGAAACUGAUGGCCUAGAAGAACCAAAUAUGACUGUACAUGGAUAACAAAACAAGCAAAUUCGGUGCUCAUACCUCAGAUCCUAAGCGGUAAAGGACGAUAGUCAGGUCCUAUUCAACCGCACAGCUGCACAAAUCUGGUUUUACUAUACUAUAAAAUACAUAUUAAGGUUCAGAACACUACUUAUUCAAAUAGUGAUAACAUGUCACCAUUACGGCUGCACCUUGCACAUAAAUUCGGUGCUAUAUAUUACUAUGCACUUGUUUUAAAUGAAUUGGGGGAAGUGAGGAAUUGGAAGAGCCAAUUUGACUGCACAUGAAUAAUAUAAGAAUCAAAUACAGCGCACAUACCUCAGAUCCUUAGCCGUAAAGGCGGAUGCCCGACUCCCACGCAGCCGUGUUGUUGAUCCACGGAGCUACAACGCCGAUUCGCUACAAAGAUGCAAUCACAGCGCGCUGCCGCUGGAACUCAUGAUCUGGAUCCUGGGCGUUGGUGUUUCAACGCUGGUGGCCGGAGAUGGACAUGGAGAGGGAGAGGGAUAGGGACAGGGAGAUCUCGAGGAAGAGGAGAGGGAGAUCGAGGGACAGAGGUGAGUCGCCCAAGUUUUCGACUAACCCUAGCUCAGCCUCGCGCCUUGGUUCAGUGGUACAGGUACAGAAAAGAACAGAGGAAAGGAAGGAGACGAUGGGAUAUUUCGGAGGGACUAUUUGCGCACUUAAGUAAUUUUACAAGGUCCAUUAUGUAAAAUGUACCGGAGGCCAAAUCCCCUCCAUCAAUUUUUCAUCCAAUAGCUCAGGUUGGAUCGGAGUACCUGGUGCACCAGUUCAUCGGGUGCACAGGAUACGUUCUCACCUGACGCGGGAGGGAGAGACACGCCGUGCCUUUGACCAGUUGAGUAGAGUAGCUGCAUGAUGUACCAGAGCCAUGUCCGACGUCCUCUUCCUGCUGCAAAUAGGUGGUUUCCAUUUCGGACAUGUCCGACCACAGCCAUGGCUAGUGCUGCAUGCGCUGCUCGAAUAAUUCUGGCUCCAUCUUUUCACGCUUUGUUGCUUCAAGCAGAAAUUUCGCGGAGCCUUCCUUCUGCGCGGCGUCUCCGUAAUUGAUCUAGCCUGUACUAAUUUCCUCUACAUAUUAUAUUUAUUUUAAACAAGAGGAAGAUAAAAUGUGUAGAUGACAAGAGGAAGAUUAACCAACCCCGCAAAAAAAGGGAAGAGGAAAAUUAACCUAAAUGAAAAAGAAAGACUUGGGAGGUUUAUUUUGUGAAGAGGGACCACUAGCUAGAGAUAUCGAGGCUAGGACACGAGACUGCAUGGAAAUAUCAACACCUCUUCCAAACCGAAGAGUCUGCAACCUCGUCACCCCUCCCCCCCUUUUCCCACACCGUCGCCGGAGGACGCCGCUGGGCGAAGACCGUGCGAUCAACGAUGGCGGUGGGGGCCUUCCUUUGCGGUGUCUCUGGAGCUGAUAGCGACGGAUCCAUGCGAUGCCCGGCGGUGUCUCGUCGUGCAAGUGCUUCGGCAAGUGGCAGCGGGGUGCGUGGUGGCCGGGCUCGACAGGUCGCUCUGCACCUUGCAGGGGCGACGCGUUUCUCGGGUCUAGGCAUGCCUGGGGCGUGAAGGAAAAUGUGGCAGCUCUAGGCGACCCGUACUUCCCUCCUCGCCUAUCGGGGCGCACGUCGGCAUCCUUGAUGGGUUGCUCCGUGGACGGCGGGCCUGGACGUGAGGUGGUGGUAGGUUGCUGCGUGGGGGCGGCGGAUUAGAGCUCCCUCAGGGGUUACUGGCAGUGUACUUUACCAAGGAUGGCCCCAUCGGCCGGGCGGCCCGUCAUUGGGCCGGGCUUAGGGCCAGAAAGCCAGACGACAAGUCCAUUUCAAAACAUUAGACAUGAUCGGGGGGUGCUGAUGGUGCACAGUACCAGGGGUGGCCCUUCGGCCGGCAGGCCAAUCAAUGGGUCGGGCUCUGGGUUCAGGGUGCCAGGCGACAGGCAAGGGACCUUGAUUCGAGAGUAAGCCCAACUUCCGUAUAAUUACCAUCUUGGCAUUGUAAGCCAUGGUCUCCUUGACCGACUUAGAGGGAGGCCAACUAGGAAACCUGUAAAACCUAGCUCUCGUCCCCCUUUAUAAGGCGAGAGCAAGGGUAGAUUGCGGGACAUCUGACUUUUAGUCGAGACCUCCCAUUAUUGCAUCCAUCUAUAAGCCCCUCACACUAUGGAUUUUCACUGUUAAUAAAAAGAAAAGGAGUAGGGUAUUAUAUCAACCAUGGGUGGCUGAAUCUGGGUAAAACCCCCUGCGUGUGAUCCCCUCUUGUACAUCCAGUCAUGCUCUCCACCCUACCGAAAUCACUGACGGUCUUCGGUACCAUCAUGCCUCCUCCUCGCUAGCGGCGGCUACAGGCGGUUUGGAUCGCCUUCUUAGAUGGUUUUGGGGAAGGGGAUGGGAGGUGGAUGCAGCCUCCUGGCUAGCGAUGAAGGCAGAUGGUGGGAGAACAAGAUGGGAAAGGAGAGACGCAGUGAUAGAGUAGGGUUUCAGUGGAGGCAGAUGUACACCUAUGCGCUGGGUUAUUUUCCUUAUAUAUGUGGGAGCAGUAAAUAUGACGAGGACCUGUGGUGCCUUUGCAGCAUUGAUAAAUGCAGAACACAUGCUUACAUGGUUGAGGAAAAUACGCGUCGCUGUGGCGUCCUCUUCCUGCAAGUUAGGUGGUUUCCGUUUUGGCAUGCCCGGCCAAAGCCAUGGAUCCUGUCUGACUAGAGUAAUUCAUGGCCUCCAUGUUGGUUGGUUCAAGCAGAAAUUUCGUGGAUCCUUCCUCGCCCCCGCGUCUCCAUGGUUGAUCCAAUUUCGCGGAUCCUUCCUCGCCCCCGCGUCUCCAUGGUUGAACCAGAAAUUUGAUUUAAGCCCUUCAAGCUUCACGCUCUCACCCAGUAGAUGUAUUUACGCAGGAGGAAGAUUACAGCCUAAACCUAGAAAGAUGAGUGCACUGUAUAUGUACUUAUAUAGUGAUCACAGGGCCUGUUGAUCUGGCUAGUUUGGUAUUGUAAUAUAUUCUUAUACAGAUUUGUGUAUUUAAACAAGAGGAAGAUUAACCUAAAUGAAAAAAAAAGACUUGGGAGGUCUAUUUUGUGAAAAGGGAUCACAACCUAGGAGAGCGCAUGGAAAUUUCAACGUGCCUGUGCUGCAUAUAUAAGGGUCACUGGGCUUGCUGCUCAAAUGCAACUGCCUAGCUUGGCUAGAACUACAUCCAGAGACCGUAGCAAUGCCAGCCCCAGCUGCAGCUUGCUCGCUUCUUCUGCUUCUCCUUCUGGUGGCGCCGGUGGCCGCCGGUGACUGCGUCAUCCAUGGUGUCCGUUGGUCGGCUUGGGCCAACAGGGGUCACUUGACGGAGGGCCUCAUCAUCCCGGCGCAGACGUUCAGCGCCUUCACCUUCGACCUCUCCGUCGGCUUGCAGACCCUCUCGGUCAUCAUGGACAUCUCCAGCGAGCUUGUCUGGGUGCAGUGCGGGCCGGGGCUCAGGCGCAAGCCCACCUUCCUGCCCGGGCUCAGGCCCUCCUUCGCCCCGAUCGCGCCCUGCCCAUCAUCCGUGCGCAACAACUCCGACUCCUUUGGCCAGAUCCACUACGCCGACCGGACUUGCCAUCCCGGCGAAACCGGCUGCGCAGCCCGCUGCCGGUACGUGGAGCACAUCUACGGCGCCGGCAACACGUCCGGCUACCUCGCCACCGAAACGUUCGGUUUGGGGAACAGGGUCUUCACCGGCGUGGUGUUCGGCUGCAGCGGCAACGUCACGCUGCGGGAUGGCCUCGCCGGCGUCUCCGGCUUCGUCGGAUUCAGCAGGGGCCCCCUCUCCCUCGUUUCGCAGCGGCAGAUCUCCAGGUUCUCCUACUUCUUCGUGCUCCCGGACGACCCCGACAACGGCAAGGCCUUCGUUAGCUUGAGCUGGGCAGACGGCGCAGACCACGCCGACGUUAAGGGCAGCCACACGCCGUUGCUGGCGGCCAGGCCCAACCAGAACCCUUACUUGUACUACGUCAACCUCAUCGGCCUGCAGGUGGACGGGCAGCUCCUCACCGACAUCCCGGCGGGGACCUUCGACGUCCGGGCGAACGGCUCCGGCGGGGUGUUCCUCAGCACCACCCUGCCCUUCACCUACCUCGAGGAGGCCGCGUACAAGGUUCUGAGGCGGGAGCUCAUGAGCAGGAUCCGAUCGCAGGGGCUGGCUCCGGUGAACGCUACGGUCGGCCACAGCCUGUGCUUCCUCACGCAGCACUUCUCCAAGCUGAAGGUUCCCAAGCUGGCCCUGGUGUUCGACGGCGCCCACGCGACGAUGGAGCUCAAGGCGCAGAACUACUUCUUGCCCGUCCCUGACGGGCAGACGACGUGCCUGAGCAUACUGCCAUCGACCAGCGGCGGGUCCGUCCUAGGCAGCCUGCUGCAGACCGGCAGGACGAUGACCUACGACAUCCAUGGCGCCGGCGGCGGCCGGCUGACGUUCGCGGGUGCUCCGGCGCCAGCAAAGGUGUCGCUGGCUACUCUUUUACUGGUGUGGGUGCUCCUCUUCUAGUCCCAGACUCCCAGCUAGAUCCGUCCUUGGGUGUUGCUUAGCGUCAGAUUGCUUAGAGAAGUACUAGUAUUGUUGGAUUGUAUUUCGAGUUCCCAUUUCAGUCACCCUGUUGUGCUACUAUCACACUAUUAAAUUGCAAUGCUCCAUCUGGUAUUAAUAACGAGCGGUGUGACCGCCACAUUUGCGCGGCUAGAUAGAUAUGCCAUGUGUUGUUAGGUUUAUUUUUUGUGUGCAUGUGUUAGCUAGAAGAUGAAAUGUAGUAGAUUAUUUUAAUACCUUUAUGGAAAGAUGUGUGGACAAAAUACACCACGGAAAACUUAUUUGGCAUUGUUUUAGUUAGAGUUAAUUAGACCGGUGGUGCUAGAACUUGGCGUAAACAGUCGCCUUAGUGCUAGAACUUGCGGCAUACGUUAAAGUGGUGCAAAAACUUGACUUGAGCGUGCAAAUACAAUGUAAAUCUCGUUUGUAUACGUCGGCGAAGCUGACGAGGCAUGACAGCGUGGCAUAGGGCCCGCUGUUAGUGACUAUAUGGUGAAGAUUGGGCGUGUGACUCUUUGAAGAAAUAACCUCAAAUUUUUUUCUCACGUAAAGGCCCCUGUGAGGUGUACAACAGGCAAGGAUUCGAACCGUUGACCUAUAGUCAGCCGAGAGCACGGCUAGCCAACGCACCAGAUAAUAGUUGUGUCAUACAGAGUAUAAGGAUACUCAGCCUUUAUAUCUUUGUUAAAUAACGUAAAAUAAGAAUUUUAAUUCAAAAAUAAGAAGAUACAGCCGUGGGAUUUCGUACCAGCGACCUGACAGUUACCACGAGGAGGACCUACCAGAUACUCCCUCCGUCUCAAGAUACAGCCGUGCAAUUAAGAUUCUUUAGUUAUAUAACUUAAUUCAAAUGUAUAAAACGUGUGUAUGCUUCUAUGUUGUGAUGUGAGCUCUUGACUGAUGGUUAGCUGCACAUGUUGUUUAGACCGAGGUUACCGGUAAGAAUCCCUUGGCUGCAUAUUUUUAAUUCUAAUAAAAUUUGUGAUGUUUCACUGACAAGUAGGACCCACCGGAUGCAGUACACCUGACAGGGGCCUUUUUGUGAGAAAAAAUUAAUUAAAAACCGAGAUAUUUUUGGAAGUCACUAACAGCGGGCCCUAUGCCACACUCUCAUGCCUUAUCAGCAUCGUAGUCGUAUACAAACGAGAUUUGCACCGUAUUUGCACGUCCGAGCCAAGUUUUUGCACCACUUUAAUGUAUGCCGCAAGUUCUAGCACUAAAGUGACCGUUUGCGACAAGUUCUAGCACCACCGGUGUAAUUGACUCUUUUAGUUAAGUGUAUGAUACAUUGGUACACACGAAUGACAUAGAGUGGUUGUGUGGGUCCCUAGCUUCUCAUGCAAAAUAUAACGGUUGCUUUAGUUUUCUCUGUUCCAUUUCUCAUGGGCUAUUUAAGUGUUACCAACAUCAAAUUUAAGAACUUUCCCACACAGAGGUAAAUCCAAAAACUAGUCUCUCAUACCGAAACUUUAUGUAGGGCCAAUUGUUUUGAUGGCUUAAAAAAUAAGCUGGUUACUCCCCAGCUUUUCUCAUAAGCUGCCUCCCACAUUCAUUGGGGCUUCUUAACUAGUUACGGGAUAACUAAUUUAGAAGCAUCAACAAAUUUAGGAAGCGGCUUAUUUUUUUUAAGUUGGGGGAGGCAACUUAUAUUUUAAGCCGCUCAAAAGAACUGGCCCGUAGUCUUCCUCCAUCUUCCACGCCAAAAAAAGUCUUCCUCCACCCGCCUCAACUUUUACCGAAUAGUUUUUCUAUUCAAUUGCGGUAUAUACCAUUUGUCAACAUGCUCCACCGAUUGUCCAUCCAUGAAAAGGUAACCUUUGGUGUUUAAUUCAUCAAAUAUUUCUGAAACGCUCCUUAGCUCACUCCCAUUGUAGUUACCGUUUCCAUGUUCAUUAUGCUCAUCUUGUUCUACUCAAGAAAAUUGAUUAAUAAAUUAUAGUUAACAUGGUUUGUGGCUUUCAACAUUCAAUGUAAAGUAAUAUGAGCGCGUAAGAUUAUGUCUAGAAGUAGUCCAGGUGUAUGUGAUGGAUUCCUAUCAUGAAACAAUGUAUAUAAUUCUGUUAUAUUUUACCUAACGACGCACCAUGGUCUAUUUUGUUUUUCAGUUUUUAUUAUAUCGAAUAGGAGACGAAUUGUGGAACUACGAAAAGCGUAAUACAAAAUUGAAGGGUCGUGUCCAUGACAAAAAGGAGUUAAACAAAUUACUAUCGGUCAAGCAUUUGGUUUCUAUUUUUGGCUAGCGUAUAACAUAUGAGACAAGACCACGGGUAUGGCCUCCCUAGUAAGUGAUCACUUAUAUCAUGUAGAUUAGAUUAAUUCAGUUCAUAUGUGAAUGCUCACUUUUCUUCUUUGGGUAAAAUUAAUAUGUGAAUCUCAAUUACUGUCUUUGGCUUCUCACACUGUGCUGAAUUCAGAGAUAAAGGGAGAAACAUUUCGAAGUUGGAGGCUAGAUAUAUACUCCUAUUGUGUGCCUAGAUUAUUUUUUGCGGGUAUGUACCUAGAAUUUUCAAGAUUAAAAAACAUGUUUUUCUAGAACUUUUCCACCAACAUAAAUAGGAAAAAUCAGAUCUGGAGUGGGAGACCAGCUAUGUACACAUAGCGGGCCCAAAAUUUUGUAAACUAAAAAAAUGGAACCCAUGUUUAUAGGUUUUAGAUCAUUUUAAAACAAUAUAUCGUGUACAUGCACAUAUGUUGUACGUAAAUGUGUAAUUUCAUCAUUAGUAAAUAUCUAAGUUUCCUAACUAAAAAAGAAACAAAUAUAUAGAUCCAUAAUACUUCCUUAAUUUGUCCCAAAAUGUAGUGCUUAUUAGAUUCUUAAGCCAAAACUUGUUUACUUUGAUGAUGUAUAUUUUUAUGGGACAAUUGCAUUUUUACCCCUAGUUGGUUCCUACCCACCGGUUUUGCUCUUACUUUUCGAGCUUGCUCAGUUUUGCCCUUACUUUUUCCGUCGAGGUCCCUCGAAUGCCCUUUGACCGUUUGACCAAAACUUUGAAAAUUCGUAACUAAUUCAUAUGAACUCCGAAAAAUGCAAAUAAGAUAUCAAAAUGUUCAGAUAAACAUUACAUUUAUGUGCAUAUCAUUUGCAUUCAGGACAAAAGCACCGUUUGAACUACCCGAGGUAAUUAAUGUUAUUAACAUUAUUAAAAAUAAAAAGGUAUAAACAAUAUUUUUUCAUGAAUAAAAAUUACAUGCAAAUAUAGGUGAUGUUUUCUGAACAUCCUGAUAUCUUAUUUGCAUUUUUAUGAGUUCGUAUCAACUUGUUAUGAAUUUCUGAACAUCGUUAGAACAUUCAUAACAAGUUGAUACAAACUCAGAAAAAAGCAAAUAAGAUAUCAGGAUGUUCAGAAAAUAAGUUGAUACGAACUCAGAAAAAUGCAAAUAAGAUAUCAGGAUGUUCAGAAAACAUCACCUACAUUUGCAUGUAAUCUUUAUUCAUGAAAAAUAUAUUAUUUAUACCUUUUUAUUUUUAAUAAUGUUAAUAAAAUUAAUUACCUCGGGCAGUUUAAACAGUGCUUUUGUCCUAAAUGCAAACGAUAUGCACAUAAAGGUAAUGUUUAUCUGAACAUUUUGAUAUCUUAUUUGCAUUUUUCUGAGUUCAUAUGAAUAAGUUAUAAAUUUUCGAAGUUUUGGUCAAACGGUCAAAGGGCAUUCGAGGGACCUCAACGGAAAAAGUAAGGGCAAAACUGAGCAAGCUCGAAAAGUAAGGGCAAAACCCGUGGGUUGGAACCAACUAGGGGUAAAAAUGCAAUUGUCCCUAUUUUUAUACUGUAGGUAUAGACCAUUUUCUCUAUAAACAUUGUCAAAGUUUGUAUAGGCUAUUUUUUGCAAAAAACAAUAUGCACUAUAUUAUGGGACGGGUGGGGUAGUAAAUAAUACUCCCUCCGUCCGGAAAUACUUGUCGUAAAAAUGGAUACAAAUGGAUGUAUCUAGAACUAAAAUACAUCUAGAUACAUCCAUUCCUUGGACAAGUAUUUUUGGACGGAGCGAGUACAUCCAUUGUACAUUCAAAUAUCUGCCUUUUUAAGCUCAUAGAUAAAUAAAUGUAUUCAUGAAAUUCUAUAUGUACUUGCAAAAUAAUAAUUCAGUUCCUAAAAUAGUAAUAUUUUGAAGCUCUGCAACGUGCUUGUCUUUUUCUUUCUAAAUAAGCAUCAUAAAACUGGUGGGACCAAUUUAUCACUAAUAUGCAUGCAUGUGCUGCCUUCAUGUUUCAUAGUACAUGUUGUUCGUAAAUUAUAGGAUUUGUAAAAAUAAAAUUAGUGCACGUUAGCAUGCACGUGCUGUUUUUUACUUGAACAUGCAUGCGUAUAUUGCUUUGGGUCUUUAUUUUUCUUUUGACAGCGUACUGAUUUGGGUCUCUUCUUGAGUCCGUACCGAAGUACUAAUGACUCAUGGAGGCGUGCAUGAUCAGGGCCGGUCCUGAGAUUUCGGGGGCCCGAGGCGGAACUCAAACUCAGGGCCCCUUAAUAUAGACAUCAUGACAAUAAAAUUGCGGGUCGGACAAACGGCAGUUUCCUGAAAAUGGCAACAACAUCGGUCGAUUUUCCUAAGGAAGAACGCGAGGCAUGGACGGGAGUGACAUGGCCGACCGCAGCACUUGGGCGAGGCCCACGUCGUCGUAGGUAGCAGGGACUCGGGGGGAGGGGGCACCAAGCCGAAAAAGAGGGGUGUAGUAGAGUGAUGGUCGGAACGGCGGCACAUCAACAACGAAGGAGGUGGCUAGAGCAAGCCAGCGCGGCAGCAUAACACAAGCCGCGGGUGAUGGUGGACAGCAGUACGUCCAGGGACGGAGUUAUAAAAUUGGCAUGGAGGGGGCUAGACUAUAAGCAUGAUGUUCACAUUGGACCUAACCAAUUGGCUUUAUUAUUUUUAUGAAUUAGCUCUUUUCCUAUUCAUGUCUUCCAAGUACAAAUAUCUUCCAAGUACAAAUGGAUAAUUGGAAAUAUCCUAAUUAACUAUUGAUGUUUGUAACUUCUAAAAUUCAUCCUACUUCUGUAGUUUUAUAGUCACAAAUUAAUCUAAUGUCAAAAAGUAGAGCUAAGGCGCAAUCAAAAUUAGAUAUCAAAAUUAGAUAUAGAGUAAACUAACCCUUGUUCCUUAGACCAUCACUGUCAUGCUUAUUCGUGCGGGUGAGACCAGCCGGCCGGCCGGCCAUGCGUGGUGCGCUCGGCGUUGAAGCGAUGUCCAUUGGCGGGGAGUCGGCGAACGUGCGUUUGUGCGUGUGCUACAAGGACUUGGAGUCCAGAUCGCCGGAGAACGGAGCUACGGACUUCAUCGGCGACUCGGCGUCGGCGCAUCACGACUCCACCUGCGACUCGCGAUCGCGGCCAGUCGGCUAGGGUUAACCUGAAUCGGGAUCGGAAAGAAGAACAGGAAGACGUCGUGUAAUCGUGUAAUCAGCCGCUACAUGUCUUCCUGGCCCAUGGGCUACCUUGGGGCCCCCUGGAUNNNNNNNNNNNNNNNNNNNNNNNNNNNNNNNNNNNNNNNNNNNNNNNNNNNNNNNNNNNNNNNNNNNNNNNNNNNNNNNNNNNNNNNNNNNNNNNNNNNNNNNNNNNNNNNNNNNNNNNNNNNNNNNNNNNNNNNNNNNNNNNNNNNNNNNNNNNNNNNNNNNNNNNNNNNNNNNNNNNNNNNNNNNNNNNNNNNNNNNNNNNNNNNNNNNNNNNNNNNNNNNNNNNNNNNNNNNNNNNNNNNNNNNNNNNNNNNNNNNNNNNNNNNNNNNNNNNNNNNNNNNNNNNNNNNNNNNNNNNNNNNNNNNNNNNNNNNNNNNNNNNNNNNNNNNNNNNNNNNNNNNNNNNNNNNNNUUUUUAGAGAGAUGUGUUGGAUUAUCCCUACGUAACAUGUACAUGUACGUUUCCUACGUAUGAAUAUUUAUUGUAACGUUUACAUCUAUUAAUCUCGAUUGUCGAUAACUGAAAUUAACGAUUGAGAUAAUUUAAUCUAUGUGGAAGAACGUCAUGGCUUAUUUGACUUCUGUCUUAAUUAUAUAAUAGAUAGAUAGAUUUGAGUUUAUGCACGUUGUGGUAUUUCUCUCCAAGAAAUUGCUUCAAUCAAAUAUAUUUAGUGGUCAAGUAUUAAAAUGUUGAUUUAAAACUUAUGCGUCUGGUAUUUUGAAUUAGAAGGGAAAAAAGGACGUAGCUCUUCGCUUUGCUUUUGUUCGUUCUCCCUCUUUUUUCCUUUCUUCGUACUUUGUGUUGUUUCUGUUCACUUCGGUGUGUUUUGAAAUACUUUCUCCAUUCACAAAUAUAAGAUGUUUCAGCUUUUUUCCUAAAUUGGAUUUAUAUAGACACGUUUUAUUAUGAUUGUUCAUCCAUUUCAGUUUGUAUGUAGUCCAUAUUAAAAUUACUAAAACAUCUGAUGUUUGUGAAUGGAGGGUGUAUAUUAUAAGGUGGACCGUGCUCUUCCUUCAUAUCCAAUAUUUCCGAAGGGGUACAAAUGUUUCAAUUAGAAAAGGUUAGUCACUGUUCAUAAUUGGAUUCCGUUGAUGACAUUCGGGUAUGUACGAUUCAGCUAUCGGGAUGAUGAUGUUCUUCCCUUUCUAUGGACAUCAGCCACGUUACUUUGGCGUCACAUACUCAUAUGCCCCGUGGCAGCCAAUUUCAACAAAUGGACUGACGACCGCAAACAAAUAUCUACAUCGAGCUCAACAGAAUAUGAAGGAGUUUGCAGAUCGCAAACAUUCUGAUUGCUCAUUGUCGCCAAUGAUUAGGUCUAUCUUUGAGUUCAACCCUACAUUCAAACUUCACCGAUGCAGCAAGCAAAUGCCAAGUUCGUCGAGUAUUUCAGCUCUUAUCAAUUGUUGGCGCCUGUGGAGAAUCAAGCAUAUCGACUGCAACAUCGGCUGCAACUAUCGGAACAUGCCAAUAUGCACCUGGUCUAUGUGCCGUAGCUACGGUCGCCAAAAACCAUGCAUCAGGAACUACCUUGGAUCUCUGAGGAGCACAAACCACUGCAUGUUCCGGGGUUGGUGCUGGAGCGCUGCAGGCGCCAUCGUCCGAUGGGCCCAUCCAUGACUGGCCAGCCCAAUGGGUCGGAAUAAUGACCCAGGAGAACGCAAAGCGACCCCGCCAAAAAUGAUAUGUGCCGCUUAUCGCUCAUCACGGUAUCCCUCUGGAUCGCCCACUACUAUACCAAGGUGGGCUAGCCCAUUGGAACCGAAACACUCACGUUACUACCAAGAGCUGUUUGGGAAGCUUUUCUGUUGAUUUUAGGAACCUCCCCUUCAUUUUUUCCCAGUGUUUUUAGUUUUUCUUUUAUUUUUCUUAUUUUACCCUUUUAAAUUCAUAAACAUUUCUUAAAUUAGCAGAUUUUUUCCAAACUAAUGAAGACUUUUCAAUAUUCUGAACUUUAUUCGAACACGCAAACAGUUUCCAAAUUUGCUAAUUUUGCAGAUCCACAAAAUUUUCUCAAUUUCGUCAAUUUCGAAACAUUUUUGCAAAUUGGCGAACAUUUUUCAAUCGUUUGACCAUUUUUAAAAUCCGCAAACACUUUUUGAAUUCAACAUUUUUUAAAUUCAUGGAUAGUUUUUUCAAUCCGCGAACAUUUUUUUUCUAGUUCGCAAACAUGUGUUUUAAAUAUGUGAACUUUUUUUUUCAAAAUUCUUGAACAUCUAUUUUCUAAUUCAUGUACAUUUUUAUAUCCAUGACCAUUUUUUGAAUUCACCAAAUUUGUCCAGUUCGUGAACAUAUUUUGAAUUCACAAAGGUUUUUUUUUCAAAUAUGUGAACAUUUACUUAAUCCACGAAUUGUUUUGAAUUGUCAAAUAUUUAUGAAAUGCACAUUUCUUAAUUAACCAUUAUUUCUUGAAUCCACAAUUUUUGAAUUCGUGAACAUUUUUUCUAGUUCAUGAAAAUAUUUCAAAUUCAAACACAUUUGGCAAAUUCAUGAACAUUUGUUUCAAUCCACAAUUUUUUAUUCCAUAAGAAAUUUAUUUCAAGAAUAUAUUUCAAAUUCACUAAUAUAUUUUUGUAGUAGCGUACACUCUUAUGUAAAACCAAUCAAAAUACAAAAUUGAUAAAAACAAAUCUAUUCUUAUUUUCAUUUUCACGAACUCUUAUAAAUUAUUACGAAUCUAAACCGUGUAGAAUUAUAAUUCUCUCCGUUUUGGGGAGGGUGGCGAGGUAGACGGAUGGUAGUCGCACCGCUUUGACGUUGGACAGCGGUCACACCGCUUUGACGUUGGAUAUUCUGGCCGUUCCUAGCGGUCGACGUAUCUUUCCCUACACAUCCGGUGCUGCAUUUGGCGGAACCACAUGUUUCAUUGGAGGCCGACAUGAUCCACGAUUUAGACAUUCCAUUGGGAGGCUCACGCAAGGUGUGCCAAUGCUAGCGUGACUCAAGUCGAGACUCCUCUAAUUUUUUUUUUGGAAUCUUUUUUUUUGAACAUAGACGCUAGAAGCGUCCGGCUUUAAAUUAAUAAAGCCACAAGGCACCAUUCAUACCAGGUUCUAAGAAGAGAACAAAAGAAAACAGGCAAUUCCGCACGGCCAUCAACACACAGACACAAGGUUCAGAAGCACGCAGGCUCAAAUAUUACAACCAUGAAAUCAACCAGCCUUACUAGGCCUCGCCAGCAAAAAGCUUUCCAAAAGCAUCUCAUCCGUGCGUCGGUUCUUGUCUUGCCAAAGUCUGAGUCGUCUUGAUACGCAUCAUGGCCUCCGUCAUGCGCUCAGCAUCGCGCUCCUUCCCCAGCGGUAUCCACGUCUGUAAAAAUAAGUGGCAUUUGAAGAUCACAUCAGCGGGGUGGUUAGGGAAUUUCUUCUCAAUCGUAAUUUUGUUACGAGUCGUCCAUAGAGCCCACAAUAGCGCCCCUACGCAUCGCCAACCUAUUCUAGCGCUGGACCCUUUUUGUGUUUUGAUCAAAGUGAGCAAGUCGGCUCCUGAUGCGGGAUUCCAGUUCGAGUGGAAUGCAUCCCUAACCGCACUCCACGCGAACUUGGCUAGGUGGCAUCUAAAAAAUACAUGGUUAGCAUCUUCUGCCAGGCCGCAAACCGUGCAGGUUCCAUCAGCCAGACCAUUGCGUUUAGCUACGUUGUCCGAGGUAGGAAGCCUAUUUCUAAACAUUUGCCACAUGAAGAUUUUUAUCUUCAGUGGCCUGCCUGCCUUCCAUAGUCUCCUUGCUAUGUCUAGCGCAUUCCCCUCGGUAAGUUUGCUAUAGAGAGAUUUUACUGAUAAGUUUUUGGAGGCGGUCAAGCACCACUCUAUCGAGUCAGCACCCAUGCCAAGUCGAUAGUCACCAAUUUUUCGAACCAAGUCGUCCCAUGACUCUCGUUCCGUAUUGGUGAGGGCCCGCAAGAAAUGUAUCGCAGGAGGAGAGGAAAUCAGGACCUCCCCAACCAUGAUAUUGAUAUUCGUGGCAAUCUGCUAAAGAUUGGUGUGGCUCUGCCAAAGGGGAGCGGGUCCUAGCCAACAAUCUAGCCAAAACCGAGUGGGUUGGCCAUUGUUAAUCCGGAACUUGGCCCCAACCGCGAAAGUGGGUCGGACCGCUUGCAUCCCAUUCCAAAACGAGGAUCCGGUCGGCGAGGCCGUGAAGGGAUUCCCGCUAGGGAAGUAUUUCGCUUUUAGUAGCUGCGCCCAGAGUCCCGACUCAUUUUGGGCUAGCCGCUACCACCAUUUGGUGAGUAGAGCCACGUUCAUUAGUUUCGAGUUCGUGAUCCCCAACCCACCGGAUUUCUUAGGCCUACACACGACCGCCCAUUUAACAAGGUGAUAUUUACGUUUGAUGCCGGUUCCUUCCCAAAAGAACCGAGAUUGAGGUGUGUCAAGCCUAGCGUGCACACCAUCUGCUAGUAAAAACAUCGCCAUAGUAAAGAGAGGAAGGGAGGAGAGGCUCGAGUUUGUUAGAAUUAGCCGGGCUGCAGAGGACAUAAAUCGCCCACGCCACGGGCUAACUCUAUAUGCCACUUUCCCAUAUAGUGGCUCCCACUCUAGGAUAGAAAGUUUCCGGUGCGAGAUCGGAAGCCCAAGAUACUUAAUUGGAAAGCUCCCUAGCUUAAAAUUAAGUAAGUUAGCUACUCACGCGCUUUGUUGGUCGUCCAUUCCCAUGGUGAUGACCUCACUUUUCAGGAAGUUAAUUUUGAGUCCUGAAAGGAUCUCGAAUACGAGUAGCAGAAGUUUAAUGGAAGCAAUACUGUGAUCGUAUGGUUCGAACAUCAACAAGGUAUCGUCGGCGUAUUGGAGGUGUGUCACCCCUCCAGGGAUGAGGUGUGAAACCAGCCCCCUGAUAUGCCCAACCGCCUUGGCAUUAGCAAUCAUAGCCGACAAGGCAUCCGCCACGAAGUUAAAGACAAGCGGGAAGAUGGGGUCCCCCUGUAGUAACCCUUUCCUAUUGCGGAAAAUUUUCCCCAUUUCACCAUUGACUAUAUCCGCGGUGUGCCCACCCGAUAUCAGGUGCAUGAUACGGUGGACGAAUCCAGCCUUAAAACCCUUUUUGAGGAGGACCUCACGCACAAACUCCCAGUUUACGUGGUCGUAGGCUUUUUCGGAAGUCUAGCUUAAGGAUUACCCCCUACCCUCGAGUACGUUUCAGCUCGUGGAUACUUUCUGUGAGUGCUAUUGGGCCUUCGAGAAUAUUUCUCCCCCUGAGAAAGGCAGUUUGGCUCUUAAGUAUGACUCGCUGAGCUACCAGGGCCAACCUAGUGGCGUAGGCUUUGGCACAUAGCUUAAAGGACAUGUUUAUGAGCGUGAUAGGGCGGAACAACUUGAUUGCCGCCCCUUUGACCUUCGGUAUGAGGCAGAUCGCACCAUAAUUGAGGCGAGCUAAGUCUACCGUGCCAAGGGAGAAGCCAUUUACCAUCGCAUGGAAUAAGUCCAUAAGUACAGGCUAGAACUUUUUGAAGAACUCGACCGGCCAUCCGUCCGGACCUGGUGCCGUGUCGUUCUUCAUAUCAGCAAGAGCCUUGUCAAUUUCUUGCGGCAGAAAAGACAAUGCGAGGGCAUCGUUUUCCAGCUGGGACACACGCUCUGUAGGUUCCCACAAGUCAUCCCGGAGACUUAUACGCUUCUCUUCGGCUGUUCCCAACAGCUCGAUGAAGAAGUCGUAAAUAUGUUUCACAAUCUCACUUUGGGUCACCAAAAGCCCGUUCUCAGAUUGCAGUCUCAGGAUGGUGCUCUUGCGCUUUCGGCCGUUGGCGUAGGCAUGGAAAUAACUGGUAUUGGCGUCGCCUUUCAUGACCCACUUGACACCGCCCCUACGGCGCCAAUAUUCCUCCUCCGCUCUGAGGAUAGCCAAGACUUGGUUUUCCAAGGAGUAUCUAUGCUCCCAUUAAUCUCCGGAAAACGGUCUGGCAUCGGCCUACUCAUCAAGGAGCGCGAUUUCUUCAAUGAGCCGUUCCCUUUCCCGUUUAGACUCACUGCCGUGGUUAGCCCCCAGCCCCAGAGGAAGGCCCGCAAGGACGCAACCGCGGAGGACCAGAAAUCUACGGGUCCUCGUUGGCGCCCGAGCUGAUUUCCAAUCAGGGCCCAAGGAUCAGAGACCAGCUGGGUAAACCCCUCGGCCUCGAACCAGGCAGUCUCAAAGAAGAAUCUUCGACUAUGACGCACACUAUCCUCCCCAGAAGAUAGAAUUAAAGGGAUGUGGUCUGAGCCAAUACGUGUCUCAGCCACUAGGGUGCAUAAGGGGAAGAGCACCUCCUAGUCGCUAGUACAGAACACACAGUCGAGGACGCAAUGGACAGGCGCGCGCUGUUUGUUGGCCCACGUGAAUCUCGCACCUGUUCGAGCAAUCUCACGCAGUGCGGCUGCCGCGAUUGCGUUAUUGAAUAGGGACACCCUAGCCCAAUCAAUGUUGUCGUUGUUUUUAUCCGCCCCCGAGCGGAUCAAGUUGAAAUCCCCACCUACUUCUAAAGGCAGGUUAGCCGCUCUUUUGGCCCCAACCAGGGUCAUGAUCUCUCCCAAGAAAUUCGCUGACCUCGCGUGGUCUGCCGGCCCAUAAACACUCACAAUCACCCAAGUAACUUCAUACACGCGAUGACGAACAGUUGCAGCGAUAUAAAAAACACCGGCCUCCCACAUAAUUACAUCACAAAUAUCACAGUUACAUCCCAUCAGGAGGCCACCCGAGUGCCCCAAGGAGGGGUCCAGAACCAGUCGAAACGUUGGAGAGGGUCAUACGCUAGGAGAUUGAAAGCACAAGUUCUCCCUGGGUGAUUUUGGUAAUUAAUGUCAACAUAUCUCUUAUUGGACUAAUACUUUUAUCUAGUAUAUUUCAGAUGAGUUCAACGGUGGAGCGGCGUGGACAAGAGGAUGUGGAACCCCUUCAAGAUGCUAAGGACAGAAGAUUGGCAAAAGCUCAAAAGCUCAAAAGCUUAAGACUCUUCAUUUUCAUUUUAGUGAUCCAAGAUCACAUUGAGUCCAUAGGAAAGCCAAUACUAUUAAAAGGGGAUGAUGUGUUGCUUAAUGGCUUGCUUGCUCGAAGUGCUUAGUGAUAUGCUCCAAAGCCCUCAACCACUUUCUCAUUUUCACAUAUGUCCGAAACCAAAAGUCAAACUCGGCCCCACCGAUUUGGUCUAUCCGGCGCCACCGAGUUCACUUGACAUAGCCACUGCCAGAAACCCUAACCAGUUCGAUCUCACCGAUGGGAUCUAGGUCUCACCGAGAUGGGCUUGCAAACUCUCUGUUUCCUGUUGCAAUUAUUUCGGUCCCACCGAGAUAAGCAAUCGGUCCCACCGAGUUUGCCUGACCAACUCUCUGUUUAGCUUAUUACCAAAAUCGGCCCCACAGAGUUUGUGUAAUCGGUCAAACCGAGUUGAGGUUUUACCAUAACCCUAGCACAUCGGUCCCACCGAGCUGAUCAUAUCGGUCCUACCGAAAAGCCUAACGUUCACAUUUUGAACUGAAUCGGUCUGACCGAGUUUCAUGAUUUGGUCCCGCCGAGUUUGGUGAAUUGUGUGUAACGGCUAGAUUUUGUGUGGAGGCUAUAUAUACCCCUCCACCCACUCUUCAUUCGUGGAGAAAGCCAUCAGAACGUGCCUACACUUCCAACAUACAUUUUCUGAGAGAGAACCACCUGCUCAUGUGUUGAGACUAAGAUAUUCCAUUCCAACCACAAGAAUCUUGAUCUCUAGCCUUCUCCAAGUUGCUUUCCACUCAAAUCAUCUUUCCACCAAAUCAAAAUCUGUGAGAGAGAGAGUUGAGUGUUGGGGAGACUAUCAUUUGAAGCACAAGAGCAAGGAGUUCAUCAUCAACACACCAUCUAUUACCUUUUGGAGAGUGGUGUCUCCUAGAUUGGUUAGGUGUCACUUGGGAGCCUCCGACAAGAUUGUGGAGUUGAACCAAGGAGUUUGUACGGGCAAGGAGAUUGCCUACUUCGUGAAGAUCUACCCUAGUGAGGCAAGUCCUUCGUGGGUGAUGGCCAUGGUGGGAUAGACAAGGUUGCUUCUUCUUGGACCCUUCGUGGGUGGAGCCCUCCGUGGACUCGCGCAACCGUUACCCUUCGUGGGUUGAAGUCUCCAUCAACGUGGAUGUACGAUAGCACCACCUAUCGGAACCACGGAAAAAAUAUUCGUGUCUCCAAUUGCGUUUGCAUACUCCAAUCCCAUCCCUUUACAUUCUUGCAACUUGCAUGCUUUACUUUCCGCUGCUCAUAUACUCUUGCCAUGCUUGCUUGAAAUGUAUUGUGAAUGUUUAAACUUGUGCUAAAACUCCACCUUAACUUGAAGAAAUUAAAAACUGCUACUUUUCUUUGUUGAGGGUCUAAUCACCCCCCCUCUAGACACCUCUUCUCGAUCCUUUCAGAGAUCCCUAAACGUGAAAUCGGCUUUAAUCGUUUCUUGUAAAGCUACAAAAUCGAUAUGCUCUUUGGCCAUAUACUCUCUAAGUUGCGUCUGCCGCCCCCCGUGGCCGCAUCCGCGGAUAUUCCAAAAUAUAUAGCGCAUUAUAUGAUACGGUUUCGAAGGCGGACUCAAUGGGAGCUCACCACUUUGGCCACUCGCUUCCGCGCCGGCACCCGGCUGGAAGAAGGGACAUCCAAGGCUACCCCAGCCUUGUCCCCCUCAAUGGGCAUUUGGUCUGCACAAGCCUCUACUGGUACUGUGACCAGACCGGCCUCUGCCUGCUCCGCCAUGCACCGGGCGGCAGCAGCAGCAGCGAGAGCACCCUGAGCCUCUUCCCUCGCGCGGACUAGUGAAAUAUUAGCCACAGGCGAGGAUUCAAUCGCAACACAACUAUCGUGAAGAAUCUCAGUGAGGUGAUCAUCGCAAAACGCAUUCAGAAUCUUAAAGAAGGGGGUUGGGUUACCUCACACAUCCAUGUUCUUGUCGGCCGCAUGCAGCCUAGCACUCUCCAGAGAAGUCAUGUCCCCAAGCUUUGCUUUGGCGCGCGCGCUGGGAGUCCGCUGCGUCACUGGAGUCGCCCUUGAACGCUUGGCCUUGGUGGAUGGCCCAGGCACCACAAGAGCCGUCCCGAGCUCGCCCCGCAGUGCCUCCGCUGGACCCGCAGCCGCCGGUGCCACCGUCUUGGAGCCAGGCUUCCGCCCAGCUGUCUUCUUGGCCUGCCUACCAUAGCCACUCGACACGCGCCGACCCGAAGCCGGGGUGAGUUCUGAGUCAGCGUUCAGCACAGAACCCGUGUCCUCCCCCCGAGCACCGGGAAGGCAGGCUGGGCGUCUACCGCCACCACCGCCACUUGCGCGUUCACUAGCAGAUUCUGGGCAGGUAGGUUGGAGCCGUACCUGUCAAAUGACGUAUCCAGAGAGCGGGCAAGGGGAGGGACGCUAACAACAGUAUCUUGAGUAGCAAAGACGCCCAACUUUUCCCAGGUCUCCGUGUCGAUGGAAGUAUCUUGAAUACUGUCUUCAGGAUCAUCAGCCUGCUCGCCCAUCACCACGUCUUGGCUCACCAAGGCCGCGCCGGAGCCCUUGGCCUCCUUCUGGGGCACCGCCGAAGUUGACUUUGCACCUUUCUCAGAGCUAGCAGCGCCCUUGGUAGAUUUGCCGGAGUUCGCCCUCUACUUGGGCAGUCCGGAUUUGUCCAUCUCGCUUGAGGGAGGUUGGGCGGAGGGGCCCGCCCCAGGCGCACCACUUCCUUCCCCCAAACUCCGAGGGAGGCGCUCAAGUUCUACCUUGAUCUGAUAUCCUUCGUGGUUAAACCACACCUCCACCGAGCCGUUCAACUUUUCCAGCGCCUUUGUCGGCGUCCUGGGAACGGGGGUCCCCAGACUUGCCUGCCUGCGGCCCAUGGCGUGGCUCCAUCAGCGGCCCUGUAUGGCCCAUCUUCACCAGCAAACACUCAAGACCCUCGCGAGGGGCCAAGCCUCGCGAGGCGGACGACGCAAGACCUCCUCGGGGGCAGCCUCACCAGGCUGGCUCGCGAGGGGCGGAGAGAUCAAGGCAAGGGGCACCUCGCGAGGGUUCCUGUGACGCAAGUCAUGACGACCGGGGCCAGGCAGGCGCCAGGUGGGCGCCAACGCGCGCAGUGUCCUCGUUUCCUCUUUGGUGCUAAAGAGGCAAGCACAAGCGAGGAGUCCCGAGGCAUCAGGCAAAGGUUUCCAUAUCAGUGCAACGAGACCAAGACCAGCAGGACGGCAGGACGGAGGUCAUCGCGGAGCCCACGACGGCGUCACCACCAGAGCCUUUGGCAGGCGAAGACCACCUUUAGUCAGGAUAACUUGUACUAGUUGUCUCCCUUCAAAUUUGGCCCUUGUGGGAUCCCUUCCCGCCUAAACAUUUGGGAAGAGGAUCAGGGCCUCUAUAAAUAGGGCUAGCCACCACCAUAGGGAAGGGGAUCGGGGGGUCGAACAGACCCGAGGAGAUUCAGAUCAUCCCCAGCCACACAAACUCACCAAGCACAAGAGCACCUCUUCUCAGGAGGCUGUUCUUCCCUUGUAACUGUUCAUCCUCAGCCCAAUAGGCAAUGCACCACACCACACUGGAGUAGGGUAUUACACCACAUCGGUGGCCCGAACCAGUAUAAAUCUUGUGUCCCUUUGUUCUGCGUGUUCGAGGCACUGAAGCUUUGAGAUCGCGGUGAGAGAGAGAGAGAGUGCUAGGGGGAGGAGAUAUCUUUGUGCGCACCCCAGUGUUCGAACCUCAAGUGUUUUGCCGGAACCCGAAAUCCGACAUUUGGCGCGCCGGGUAGGGGUGCGCCGAAGCCUCUCUUCCAUCAGCAGACCUGCCAGCACUCUGCAGUGCCGAUGUCCGCCGACCUGAGGGCCGACGCCGACCACUGGGAGGCUUGGCCAGCCCGGGCGGUGUCGUCCACCCAAGGAGACCUCAACCCCGCGCUCCAGGCGGCACGCGCACCGCCAAACGCUGUGGGGCGCGGGUGGCGCGGUCCGACGCUGUCCACCCUUACUCCGCGGCGCGCGCGGGCCGCCGCAAGGGCCUCAAGCUACGUGAUGUCUACUAUGCAACCUUCUUCUUGUAGACGUUGUUGGGCCUCCAAGUGCAGAGGUUUGUAGGACAGUAGCAAAUUUCCCUCAAGUUGAUGACCUAAGAUUUAUCAAUCCCUGGGAGGCGUAGGAUGAAGAUGGUCUCUCUCAAACAACCCUGCAACCAAAUAACAAAGAGUCUCUUGUGUCCCCAACACACCCAAUACAAUGGUAAAUUGUAUAGGUGCACUAGUUCGGCGAAGAGAUGGUGAUACAAGUGCAAUAUGGAUGGUAGAUAUAGGUUUUUUUAAUCUGAAAAUAUAAAAACAGCAAGGUAACUAAUGAUAAAAGUGAGCGUAAACGGUAUUGCAAUGAUAGGAAACAAGGCCUAGGGUUCAUACUUUCACUAGUGCAAGUUCUCUCAACAAUAAUAACAUAAUUGGAUCACAUAACUAUCCCUCAACAUGCAACAAAGAGUCACUCCAAAGCCACUAAUAGCGGAGAACAAACGAAGAGAUUAUGGUAGGGUAUGAAACCACCUCAAAGUUAUUCUUUCGGAUCGAUCUAUUCAAGAGUUCUUACUAGAAUAACACCUUAAGACACAUAUCAACCAAAACCCUAAUGUCACCUAGAUACUCCAAUGUCACCUCAAGUAUCUGUGGGCAUGAUUAUACGAUAUGCAUCACACAAUCUCAUAUUCAUCUAUUCAAUCAACACAAAGUACUUCAAAGAGUUCCCCAAAGUUUCUACCGGAGAGUCAAGACGAAAAUGUGUGCCAACCCCUAUGCAUAGGUUCAUGGGCGGAACCCGCAAGUUGAUCACCAAAACAUACAUCAAGUGGAUCACGUGAUAUCCCAUUGUCACCACAGAUAAGCACGGCAAGACAUACAUCAAGUGUUCUCAAAUCCUUAAAGACUCAAUCCGAAAAGAUAACUUCAAAGGGAAAACUCAAUCCAUUACAAGAGAGUGGAGGGGGAGAAACAUCAUAAGAUCCAACUAUAAUAGCAAAGCUCGCGAUACAUCAAGAUCGUACCACCUCAAGAACACGAGAGAGAGAUCAAACGCAUAGCUACUGGUACAUACCCUCAGCCCCGAGGGUGAACUACUCCCUCCUCGUCAUGGAGAGCGCCGGGAUGAUGAAGAUGGCCACCGGUGAGGGAUCCCCCCUCCGGCAGGGAGCCGGAACAAGGUCCCAAUUGGUUUUUGGUGGCUAUAGAGGCUUGCGGCGGCGGAACUCCCGAUCUAUUAUGCUCUCUGAUGUUUUUAGGGUAUAUGGACAUAUAUAGGUGAAAGAAGUCGGUAAGGGGAGCCACGAGGGGCCCACGAGGGUGGAGGGCGCGUCCCCCUGCCUCGUGCCUUCCUCGUUGCUUCCCUUACGUACACUCCAAGUCUUCUGGAUUGCUUCCGUUCCAAAAAUAACUCUCUCGAAGGUUUCAUUCCGUUUGGACUCCGUUUGAUAUUCCUUUUCUGCGAAACACUAAAACAAGGGAAAAACAGAAACUGGCACUGGGCUCUGGGUUAAUAGGUUAGUCCCCAAAAUCAUAUAAAAGUGCUUAGUAAAGCCCAUUAAACAUCCAAAACAGAUAAUAUAAUAGCAUGGAACAAUCAAAAAUUAUAGAUACGUUGGAGACGUAUCAAGCAUCCCCAAGCUUAAUUCCUGCUCGUCCUCGAGUAGGUAAAUGAUAAAAACAGAAUUUUUGAUGUGGAAUGCUACUAGCAUAAUUUUCAAUGUAAUUCUCUUAAUUGUGGUAUGAAUAUUCAGAUCCGAAAGAUUCAAGACAAAAGUUUAAUAUUGACAUAGAAAUAAUAAUACUUCAAGCAUACUAACUAAGCAGUUAUGUCUUCUCAAAAUAACAUGGCCAAAGAAAGUUAUCCCUACAAAAUCAUAUAGUCUGGCUAUGCUCUAUCUUCACCACACAAAGUAUUUAAAUCAUGCACAACCCCGAUGACAAGCCAAGCAAUUGUUUCAUACUUUUAGUGUUCUCAAACUUUUUCAAUCUUCACGCAAUACAUGAGCAUGAGCCAUGGAUAUAGCACUAUAUGUGGAAUAGAAUGGUGGUUGUGGAGAAGACAAAAAGGAGAAGAUAGUCUCACAUCAACUAGGCGUAUCAACGGGCUAUGGAGAUGCCCAUUAAUUGAUAUCAAUGUGAGUGAGUAGAGAUUGCCAUGCAACGGAUGCACUAGAGCUAUAAGUAUAUGAAAGCUCAACAAAAGAAACUAAGUGGGUGUGCAUCCAACUCGCUUGCUCACGAAGACCUAGGGCAUUUUGAGGAAGCCCAUCAUUGGAAUAUACAAGCCAAGUUCUAUAAUGAAAGAUUCCCACUAGUAUAUGAAAGUGACAACAUAGGAGAUUCUCUAUCAUGAAGAUCAUGGUGCUGCUUUGAAGCACAAGUGUGGUAAAAGGAUAGUAGCAUUGCCCCUUCUCUCUUUUUCUCUCAUUUUUUUGUUUUUUGGGCCUUCUCUCUUUUUUUGGCCUCUUUUUUCUCUUUUUUUUCGUCCGGAGUCUCAUCUCGACUUGUGGGGGAAUCAUAGUCUCCAUCAUCCUUUCCUCACUAGGACAAUGCUCUAAUAAUGAUGAUCAUCACACUUUUAUUUACUUACAACUCAAGAAUUACAACUCAAUACUUAGAACAAGAUAUGACUUUAAAUGAAUGCCUCCGGCGGUGUACCGGGAUGUGCAAUGACUCAUGAGUGACAUGUAUGAAAGAAUUAUGAACAGUGGCUUUGCCACAAAUACAAUGUCAACUACAUGAUCAUGCAAAGCAAUAUGAGAAUGAUGGAGCGUGUCAUAAUAAACGGAACGGUGGAAAGUUGCAUGGCAAUAUAUCUCAGAAUGGCUAUGGAAAUGCCAUGAUAGGUAGGUAUGGUGGCCGUUUUGGCGAAAGGUGCGCGGUAUUAGAGUGGCUAGCAAUGGUGGAAGGGUGAGAGUGCGUAUAAUCCAUGGACUCACUAGUGCAGAACCUGGCUUUAGCGCCGGUUCGUAAGGGCCUUUAGUGCCGGUUCCAUAACCGGCACUAAAGAGUGGGGUCAUCACGAACCGGCGCUAAAGCGCCACCACGUGGCAUGAGCCAUGCCCGGGUGCGUGCAGGACUUUAGUACCGGUUGGUAACACCAACCGGUACUAAAUGUUUGGGGGGUGUUUUGGUAUUAUUUUUUAUUUUUCCUUUAAUUUUGUGUUUUCAAUUUAAUUUAGUGAUUAUUUUAGAUGUUAAAUCAUUAGGUGAAAGUACAGCAGAUUAGUUUUGACUGGAUGCAUGUGGAUCCUAGCUAGCUAAUUAAGUGAUCAAGUAUAUGCCAUAUCCAUAUUAUACUUGAUCACCUAUAAUUAAGUGAUCAAGUAUAAUAUGGAUAUGGCAUAUACUUGAUCACUUAGCUAGGAUCCAUCCAGCUUAAACUAAUCUGCGGUUUAUUUCAUAAAUGAUAUAAUAACUCAUCAUCAUCAUCAUAUUAAUAUAAAAACUCUUGCAUCAUAUCAUCAACAAUAGUAUACUAGCUAGCUAAAAAUCAUCAUAGUCUUCAUUACCAUUGUUUAAUCAUCAUAGUCAUUACCGCUAUCUAAUCACCACCAACACUAGCUUAAAGAAAAAACAUUCACUUGUACCAGAAGCAAAGAUAUCAUCGAGUUCAACAUGGUCAUGAUAUUAUAUGCGUUCAUAACACCACAAAAGCAAAUCACCCUUUGAGAUUAAGUUCAGGACGAAGAACACGGACAUGAGAGGACAAGUACUAAGAGCAUGAACUAGCUAAAUCACUCUUGCUGCUCUCUCUCAGGUAAAAUAGCAUAGAACAUGUAUAGCUCUCCUGAUUCAUCAUACUGGAGCAUGCAGAUGAACCUGUCUCCUAAUCGUGGGCUGCGCUUCUCAUUGUUGUCCCCUAGUACUUCUCUGCUGGGAUCGUUAACAAUUUUGCUCCAAUCUUUCACUAUUAAGCAUUCAUCGCUAUUAGAAAUCCUGAAUGCACUCAUGUGCAAUGUAGGAUAUCUUGGCCGUAAGCUAACCAUUGACAUGUGACCUUUAGUCUCGAUCCACUGAGGCACAACUGUCAUCGGGAGUCCCUGUUAAAGAACAUCAUAUAGUAAUUAAUAUGCUUAGCAAUGAAAGUUUAGCAAAAAAAUAAUGUAUGCAAAAGAUGCACUGAGGACAAAUAGUAAAAAUCUUACCAUCUUUCGUAAAUAGAUGUGACCGUAGUUCAAUACGAUCACUAUUGGUCGCACGUUUUGAGUACUAACAUUUCUAAGUGUAGGAAGAAAAUUUGUCUUGACAGUAUGAAGAUCCUCAAGCCAUGAAACAUAACGACUUAUCUCCUCGCAGUUUAGUUCAGCUCCGGGACAGUAGUAGGUCCUGUCUACCAAGCGCCAGACAUGUUUGCUUGAAUGGAAAUAAGCUGUCAACAGAAAUUAGUUGUCAACUAUUUUUGAAUAAACAAUAUCAAAGACUUAAAUAUGGUUGAGAAACUCACAUAAUGGUAUAACUGGAGGCGUCCGCACAUCGACCCAGAUGUCUUUAUUACCUUCAAUAUCAUCUUCCGGACGAAUAUCAAAGGUGAUAACCAUAUCAGGCUCAAAUGCAUAAGCCUUGCAUAGUGCUUGCCAAGUUUUGCAUUCAAAAUAGGUGUACGUGUCUGCAUUGUAUAAUUUGACGUUGAAAGUAUAACCAUGCUCGGUCUUCAGGUAAACUCUCUUUACCUCCAUAGUUUCCAUAGCACUGAAACCUAUCUUAUCCAAGACAAAAAUUCUUGCAUGGCAGGGGAUGCGCUAGUAGAAUAGUAAAAAUUUAAAAUUAUAAGUUGAAGCAAAUGAAGCAUAUAUAAGUCAUGCUUAAUUACGAAAAAAGACUUGUCGUUGUGACUUACUGUAUCCACUUCGAAGGUCUCAUCCAGUUUGAUGCUGAAGCGCCUUUCAUCAACAAGGAAAUUUCUGUCGCACAGGCCGCGCUGGUCUUCACAGUAUUCGCACUUAAUGAAAUCUUUUUGGUCGUCAGACGACAUUUCCUAUGUUCAUAUAGGUGAAACAUUAAACACUUACUAGUUCUAUUAAUUCAACUAAUUCAACUACUUCUAUUAAUUCAACUAGUUCUAUUAAUUCAACUAAGCAUUUACUAAAAAUAAACUUGUUCUAUUAAUUUUCUUACUAAAAUAAAGUAGCUAGUUCUAUAUAGUAAUAUUUUAAUUAGAUCAUCAAAUCUCAGAUAUCUCAUAUACCUAAAUUUUCUUACUAAAAAUAAACUAGUUUUACUAAUUCAACUAGUUCAACUAAGCAUUUANNNNNNNNNNNNNNNNNNNNNNNNNNNNNNNNNNNNNNNNNNNNNNNNNNNNNNNNNNNNNNNNNNNNNNNNNNNNNNNNNNNNNNNNNNNNNNNNNNNNNNNNNNNNNNNNNNNNNNNNNNNNNNNNNNNNNNNNNNNNNNNNNNNNNNNNNNNNNNNNNNNNNNNNNNNNNNNNNNNNNNNNNNNNNNNNNNNNNNNNNNNNNNNNNNNNNNNNNNNNNNNNNNNNNNNNNNNNNNNNNNNNNNNNNNNNNNNNNNNNNNNNNNNNNNNNNNNNNNNNNNNNNNNNNNNNNNNNNNNNNNNNNNNNNNNNNNNNNNNNNNNNNNNNNNNNNNNNNNNNNNNNNNNNNNNNNNNNNNNNNNNNNNNNNNNNNNNNNNNNNNNNNNNNNNNNNNNNNNNNNNNNNNNNNNNNNNNNNNNNNNNNNNNNNNNNNNNNNNNNNNNNNNNNNNNNNNNNNNNNNNNNNNNNNNNNNNNNNNNNNNNNNNNNNNNNNNNNNNNNNNNNNNNNNNNNNNNNNNNNNNNNNNNNNNNNNNNNNNNNNNNNNNNNNNNNNNNNNNNNNNNNNNNNNNNNNNNNNNNNNNNNNNNNNNNNNNNNNNNNNNNNNNNNNNNNNNNNNNNNNNNNNNNNNNNNNNNNNNNNNNNNNNNNNNNNNNNNNNNNNNNNNNNNNNNNNNNNNNNNNNNNNNNNNNNNNNNNNNNNNNNNNNNNNNNNNNNNGGGACGGCAACGCGAGACGGCGACGAUGGGGGCAGCGGUGCGAGACGGCGACGACGGGCGGCGAGGGCGGCGCGCGAUGGGCGACGGCGCGGCGGCAGCGGCGAUGUCGCGCGAAGCAGUUGAAGAAGAAGUGAUGGUCGAUGAAACUGAAUUUUUUGUAAGUGCCAUAUAUAUAGGCGGGGCCUUUAGGCCCAUGCAUUAAUACCGGUUGGAGCCACCAACCGGUACUAAUGGUUGUGCGCUGCCACCGGCGGUGCACAAUGUUUAGUCCCACCUCACCGAGAGAAGGGCAGCCGCACUGGUUUAUAAACCCAGUCGCGGCUGCUCUUUCGAACUUCUCUAUAUAGCAGGCUUCUGGGCCUAACUAUGGCGCGCUGCCCUGUGAUCCUGCUGGCCCUUCUGGGCCUGAAUUUGCACACCCUAGCUCUGGUAGGCCCACUGGGCAGCGCCCCAACAAUUUUUUACAUAGUUUUUUCUUUUCUGCAUUAUUUAUUUUCUUCUAUUUAUUUUUGAGUAAUUUUUUAUAUAGUUUUUGUCUUUUCUGUUUUAUUUAUUUUCUUCUAUUUAUUUAUGAGUAGUUUUUUUGCUAUAUUUAGUUUCUUUAUGAAUAUUUUUGCUUUCUCGUUCGAAACCCUGAUACUCCGAAAGAGAUUGUCUAGUUUAUACACGAAGUGCGUCCAGUUUUUGUCGUGACCCUCUCUACUCUUUUGCACAUGCUAUGCGGGUGAAAUGAUGAUACCAUGCCAAGUUCCAACAUUUUCAGAGUUCAUUUUGUAGUGAUUUUCAAUUUCACGGUCAUUUAGCUCUCUAAACAAAUCGGUAAAUGACUGAAAAAUAACAAAUGAUGUCAGAACAUGUUGGAAAUUGAUGACGACGCUUUGAAUGUUGCAUACUGAACGCAAAAAUAGUCUGAAGUUCAAUUAAGUUUAAAAAACAUGAAGUGUCGGGGUAACAGAUGAGUUCUCGUCCGAAACCCUGAUACUCCGGAAGNNNNNNNNNNNNNNNNNNNNNNNNNNNNNNNNNNNNNNNNNNNNNNNNNNNNNNNNNNNNNNNNNNNNNNNNNNNNNNNNNNNNNNNNNNNNNNNNNNNNNNNNNNNNNNNNNNNNNNNNNNNNNNNNNNNNNNNNNNNNNNNNNNNNNNNNNNNNNNNNNNNNNNNNNNNNNNNNNNNNNNNNNNNNNNNNNNNNNNNNNNNNNNNNNNNNNNNNNNNNNNNNNNNNNNNNNNNNNNNNNNNNNNNNNNNNNNNNNNNNNNNNNNNNNNNNNNNNNNNNNNNNNNNNNNNNNNNNNNNNNNNNNNNNNNNNNNNNNNNNNNNNNNNNNNNNNNNNNNNNNNNNNNNNNNNNNNNNNNNNNNNNNNNNNNNNNNNNNNNNNNNNNNNNNNNNNNNNNNNNNNNNNNNNNNNNNNNNNNNNNNNNNNNNNNNNNNNNNNNNNNNNNNNNNNNNNNNNNNNNNNNNNNNNNNNNNNNNNNNNNNNNNNNNNNNNNNNNNNNNNNNNNNNNNNNNNNNNNNNNNNNNNNNNNNNNNNNNNNNNNNNNNNNNNNNNNNNNNNNNNNNNNNNNNNNNNNNNNNNNNNNNNNNNNNNNNNNNNNNNNNNNNNNNNNNNNNNNNNNNNNNNNNNNNNNNNNNNNNNNNNNNNNNNNNNNNNNNNNNNNNNNNNNNNNNNNNNNNNNNNNNNNNNNNNNNNNNNNNNNNNNNNNNNNNNNNNNNNNNNNNNAAAUGAUGAUACCAUGCCAAGUUCCAACAUUUUUAGAAUUCAUUUUGUAGUUAUUUUCAAUUUCACGGUCAUUUAGCUCUCUAAACAAAUCGGUAAAUGACUGAAAAAAGCAAAUGAUGUCAGAACGUGUUGGAAAUUGAUGACGUCGCUUUGAAUGCUGCAUACUGAACGCAAAAAUAGUCUGGAGUUCAAUUAAGUUUAAAAAACAUGAAGUGCCGGUGUAACAGAUGAGUUCUCGUCCGAAGCCCUGAUACUCCGAAAGAGAUUGUCCGGUUUGUACACGAAGUGCGUCCAGUUUUUGCUGUAACCCUCUCUACUCUUUUGCACAUGCUAUGUGGGUGAAAUGAUGAUACCAUGCCAAGUUUCAACAUUUUCAGAGUUUAUUUUAUAGAGAUUUUCAAUUUCACGGUCAUUUAGCUCUGAAAACAAAUCGGUAAAUGACUGAAAACAGCAAAUGAUGUCAGAAAGUGUUGAAAAUUGAUGACGUCACUUUGAAUGGUGCGUACUAAACGCAAAAAAAGUCUGGAGUGGUAAUAAGUUUAAAAAAAUGAAGUGCCGGUGUAACAGAUGAGUUUUCGUCCGAAACCGGCCCUGAUACUUCGAAAGAGAUUGUCCAGUUUGUACACGAAGUGCAUUCAGUUUUUCCAUAUUGUCUAGUUUGUACACGAAGUGCAUCCAAUUUUUGCCGUAACACAAGAAGUCCGGAGUUGUAAUAAGUUAUUAAAAAUAAAAAAAGGCGCAAUGCUCGUUAAUUAGCUUCAAGCCUUUCGGAAUAGUGUAGACUGCACUGCACAUAGCUCCAUGCAGUCUACCCUAUUCCUCAAGGCUUGAAGCUAAGCAACGUGAAGGUGAGCAUUGCGCCUCUUCUUCAUCGUCUCUGCACUCAGGACUUAUAAACCGCUCCUAGUGCCUCUCUCUUCACGAGGUGGGACUAAAAAACAGCUUAGUAAGAAACUCUAGUACCGGUUCAUGCCAGGGACCGGUACUAAAGGUGCUCGUGGGGCCACAGCCUCAUUAGUACCGGUUCGUGGCACGAACCGGUACUAAAGAGCUCCUCCCGCCUAGCCGUUGGAACCGGCACUAAUGGACACAUUAGUGCCGGCUCAAAAUCAAACCGGCACUAAUGUGCUUCACAUUUGACCCUUUUUCUACUAGUGACUCAAUGUAACGCCCCGGAUUCGAUGCGCCAAGUGUCUUCCAGUUAUUCGCCGUCCUUGCCAUGUCAUUUUUUGCGUGUUGUGUUUUGCCAUGUCAUCAUCUGCAUGUUUUCAAAACUUGCAUCCGGUCCUUUUCCCCGUUGUCCGUUUCGCGAUCCGACACUCUCCCUCGCGCCCGUCGCCCCUCUCAGGCCUUGUUUCAUGAGCGGGAGAAAAACGUUCUCGGAAUGGGCCGAGAUUUGCCGAGUGGCCUUGGUAUAUCACCGGUAGACCGCCCGUCAAAUUUCGUUCCAUUUGGAGGUCGUUUGAUGCCCCAACGGUUAACCGCGUAGCCCAAAACCCCUCUCUCUUUACAGCCCAACACCACUUCACCACAGCCCACUAAACCAUCCAAACCCCCUCCAUGCUAUCGGUCGUUCGAUCACGAUCGUGUGGGCGAAAACCGCACCUCAUUUGGACUCUUCUAGCUCCCUCUACCUAUAUAAACACACCCUCCCCCGAAAUUCGCGGAUGAAUCCACCCUAACCCUAGCUUCUCCCCUCCUCCGCGCCACCGGACGCGUCCGCGCCGCCGCCGNNNNNNNNNNNNNNNNNNNNNNNNNNNNNNNNNNNNNNNNNNNNNNNNNNNNNNNNNNNNNNNNNNNNNNNNNNNNNNNNNNNNNNNNNNNNNNNNNNNNNNNNNNNNNNNNNNNNNNNNNNNNNNNNNNNNNNNNNNNNNNNNNNNNNNNNNNNNNNNNNNNNNNNNNNNNNNNNNNNNNNNNNNNNNNNNNNNNNNNNNNNNNNNNNNNNNNNNNNNNNNNNNNNNNNNNNNNNNNNNNNNNNNNNNNNNNNNNNNNNNNNNNNNNNNNNNNNNNNNNNNNNNNNNNNNNNNNNNNNNNNNNNNNNNNNNNNNNNNNNNNNNNNNNNNNNNNNNNNNNNNNNNNNNNNNNNNNNNNNNNNNNNNNNNNNNNNNNNNNNNNNNNNNNNNNNNNNNNNNNNNNNNNNNNNNNNNNNNNNNNNNNNNNNNNNNNNNNNNNNNNNNNNNNNNNNNNNNNNNNNNNNNNNNNNNNNNNNNNNNNNNNNNNNNNNNNNNNNNNNNNNNNNNNNNNNNNNNNNNNNNNNNNNNNNNNNNNNNNCUCGCCGCCCCGCCGCCCGAACUCCACCGCCACCUUGCCGCCUCGCGCCGGCAACCGCGCCGCCGUCGCCCGCGGAGCUCUCCGCCUCCCUCGACGCCAGCUCCAUCGCCGCCCCGCCAUCCUCCGUCGCCGCCCGGAUCUGGCCGCGGGAGCUCAGGCCGCCCCGGAUCCGCCCUCCUCCGUCCUCCCCGGCGAUCGCCGGAACCCUAGGGUCGCCGGAGACAGCGUUGACCCGCGCCGGGAUGGUCCCGUCCCAGAUCCGCCUAACCAAACGGCUUCCCGCCCCGCUCCAUCCCGGGACCCCUCCAUCCCAGUUUUCUGCGAGGGUAAUUUUCACCAAGUCCUCGUGUUUUUCAACACCAUGUGCAUAUGUUUGACAUGCCUUAACUUUCUGCUCGUAACUCCGUUUUGCAUUCAUAAUAUAUAAAAUUGUUCAUUGUGAGAUGCUCUUCAUUUUGUUCCAUUGUUUCAUGCUUGUUUGGGUCCAUCUUGAUGCCCUUAUCAUUGUUGCAAGAGUGCUAUAUGAUGUUAACUGCUGUCUGUUAUCAGAACUUGGUGAUUUGUCUUUUUCAUUGCAUCUUGUGUGUGCAUCCUAUGAGCAUGAGCUCUACUUGUGUUUUGAAAUACAUCAUGUCAUCUUUACAGGGGUGCUUGUAUUGUAUUUUUGUGAUCUAUGUGGUGACUAGAACAAGCAUGCAAAGUAGCCUCCGUGAUGUUGCUGAUUUCUGUGACUUGGUGUUUUCUGCCGAGUCUGUUAUAUUUUGUUGCUAUGUAAACCUGCUGCUACCAUGAGUUCUGUGCAUAAUCUGGAGAUGUUCACUAAGGAUGUUUUGUUAUAAAUGUUAUGCUCUAUCCAUCCAUGCCCUUGGUUGCAUUUAUGGCCUAAUGUAGAUUAUUGUUAUCAUGCCCCAAACUUGCUAAAUAAUGUUGCUGUCAGCCUGUUAUCAUGAAGUUCAGUUUUGCCAUGUGUUUUUCUAGUGAUCCAUGCACCCUAUGGACUUGCUCCUGCCAUCCUUAGCUUCAUAUUUAUGUCAUCUUACUGUUGGUUGACUUCACAUGCCAUGUAUUGCUCUGUGGUGAGUCGUUCAAGCUCACCAACAUGUCUACUUAUCGUUGUUUCUGCCAUGAACUGUUAUUUUCACUAAGUCUGAAUCUGUCAUAUUACUUGCCAUGUUUGCAUGGAUGCUACUAUGUUUUCUGUUGAUCUUUGGAAUUAGAUCAGUAAGGGAGUUUUGUUCUUUGUCUUUAGUAUUAGCAUUCCAUGCUUAAUUUUGCCAUGAUAUGUUCCUGUAACAUGUUGUUUGAUAGCUGUAAACUUUGCAAGCUGAUGUUAUUUCUGCCAUGUCCAGUGAUUCGAUGUUAUUUCUACCAUGUCCAGUGAUUUCUGCUAAGUCUGUGAAACUGUUAUUAUUUGCAAUCUUGCCAUGUCCUUUUGAGUAUGUUCUAUUGGUUUCUGGAGUUAGCUCAGCGUUCAUGUUGUGUAAAGCUUCACCUGUGCAUCACGCCCAUGCCUUUUGUUUUCAUGUUGGGGUGUUGUAGCAUGCUGUUAUGAUGCUUGCAAGAUGUCUAGUUGCUGUUUUGGACAGAUUGUUGCUAUAUCUUGUUUGGAGUGUAUGUGUUGCACUGUUGCUCCGUUUUGAGCAUGCUCUAUAUGAAACUUGCUUAGAAUUGCAUGUAGUUUCAUAUUACCUUGUUGCAUCCUUGUUUUGGGAGUGUUUUCUUGAUGUUUGAAUGCAUUUUGCAUCAAUGCCAUGUUUAACUUGUUUUACUCAUAUCUUCUAGGCCGUAGCUCCGAACUUAACUUUAUAUGUAAUUUGACUAGAAUUUCGUGUAGAUCAUCUUGGUGCAUCUUAACUUGCUGUUUAACAACUUGAACAUAUGGUUUAUUCAGAUCUGGACCAAUUUCGAAAUUUGCAUAUGAGGACUUACCGGAAUUUUUAUAUGUUGUUUCCGGCCUCAUUUAAACUUACCUUGAUGUGUUGCUCUUGUAUGCAUCAUCUCUUGCCAUGAGUAGUUGCAUGUAGCCUUGUCAUGCAUCAUACUUGGUUGAGCAUCAUGCCUUGUUCAUGUGUGGUGUGUUUACCAUGUUGUGUGCUUCUUCUAAACAGUUCCCGUUUCGUUGCGAUCGUGAGGAUUCGUUCGUCUACGCUUGGUUCGUCUUCGUGGCUUCAUCUUCUUCAUGGACUCGUUCUUCUUCCUUGCGGGAUUUCAGGCAAGAUGACCGUCACCUUGGAUCUCAUUACUAUCAUCGCUAUGCUAGUUUCUUCGUUCUAUCGCUAUGCUGCGCUACCUAUCGCUUGCUCUUCAAGCCUCCCAAAUUGCCAUGAACCUCUAACCUUUGUCACCCUUCCUAGCAAACCGUUGUUUGGCUAUGUUACCGCUUUGCUCAGCCCCUCUUAUAGCGUUGCUAGUUGCAGGUGAAGUUGAAGGUUGUUCGAUGUUGGAACAUGGAUAUCAUGAUCUUUGUUGGGAUAUCACAAUAUCUCUUAUAUUAUUAAUGCAUCUAUAUACUUGGUAAAGGGUGGAAGGCUCGGCCUUAUGCCUGGUGUUUUGUUCCACUCUUGCCGCCCUAGUUUCCGUCAUACUGGUGUUAUGUUGCUUGAUUUUGCGUUCCUUACGCGGUUGGGUGUUAUGGGGACCCCUUGACAGUUCGCUUUGAAUAAAACUCCUCCAGCAAGGCCCAACCUUGGUUUUACAUUUGCCUCACCUAGCCUUUUUCCCUUGGGAGUCGCGCUCUCGAGGGUCAUCUUUAUUUUAACCCCCCCGGGCCAGUGCUUGUCUAAGUGUUGGUCCGAACCGAGCCGCCUGCGGGGCCACCUCGGGGAAACUCGAGGUCUGGUUUUACUCGUAGCCUGUCUCAUCCGGUGUUGCCCUGAGAACGAGAUAUGUGCAGCUCCUAUCGGGAUUGUCGGCGCAUCGGGCGGCUUUGCUGGUCUUGUUUUACCAUUGUCGAAAUGUCUUGUAACCGGGAUUCCAACACUUAUCGGGUCUUCCCGGGAGAAGGAAUAUCCUUCGUUGACCGAGAGAGCUUAUAAUGGGCUAAGUUGGGACACCCCUGCAGGGUAUUAUCUUUCGAAAGCCGUGCCCGCGGUUAUGUGGCAGAUGGGAAUUUGUUAAUGUCCGGUUGUAGAGAACUUGACACUUGACUUAAAUAAAACGCAUCAACCGCGUGUGUAACCGUGAUGGUCUCUUUUCGGCGGAGUUCGGGAAGUGAACACGGUUUCUGGGUUAUGUUUGACGUAAGUAGGAGUUCAAGAUCACUUGUUGAUCAAUAAUAGUUGACGACUGUUCCGUUGCUUCUCUUCUCGCUCUUAUUUGCGUAUGUUAGCCACCAUACAUGCUUAGUCGCUGCUGCAACCUCACCACUUACCCCUUCCUUACCCUUUAAGCUUUGCUAGUCUUGAUACCCAUGGUAAUGGGAUUGCUGAGUCCUCGUGCCUCACAGAUUACUACAACACCAGUUGCAGGUACAGGUUUUGCGAUGAUCAUGACGCGAGAGCGAUGUUUCUUGUUUGGAGUUCUUCUUCUGCUUCUUCUUCGAUCAGGGGAUAGGUUCCAGGUCAGCAGCCUGGGCUAGCAGGGUGGAUGUCGUUUGAGCUACUGUUUGUGUUCCAUCCGUAGUCGGAUGUUGAUCUUAUGUAUGAUGUAUUGUUGUAUACUUGCGGCAUUUGUAUGCCUUGUAUGUAUCCCCAUCUAUUAUGUAAUGUUGAUGUAAUGAUAUCCACCUUGCAAAAGCGUUCCAAUAUGCGGGUCUAUCCUUGGUGGGAAUUUCGAGUUCCUCUCGGAUAGGGUCGCAUCUUGGGCGUGACAAGUUGAUAUCAGAGCCUCGACCGACCCUAGGAGCCCCCUUGAUUGAUCGUAUAGUUUGGCUGUUGUUGAGUCUAGAAGAAAACUGUUUUCGGAGUCUAGUUAUAUCGGAGAGUAGGAAUUCUUUUUACUCCUGAGCCCCUUCGUCGCUCUGGUGAGGAAUCUUGACGUAGGUGUUUCGACUUACUUCUCUUCCCCUUCAAAUUUUCUUUAGGAUCACGCAGUUGGUUUUCCGAUCGUUGUUCCUUAGCUCUUUGCAUCCGGUGCAUUUCUCGUCAAGGUGAUUCGACCCUCUCCAUUGUCGCAAGUUCAACCCUCAGUUGUUUUCUUUUCCCACCCGCCCACCCUUCUGCUUCUCGGAUCCGGAGUCCAUAAUCGAGUAUCCAUCCUACUCGUGCGAAGCCUUUGCAAUUGGGCGUGACACUCAACCUUAGUCAUAAAGAACUCACAUACUUAUUGCAAAAAUCCAUUAGUUAUCGAAACGAAGUACUACGCGCAUGCUCCUAGGGGGAUAUAUUGGUAGGAAAAGACCAUCGCUUGUCCCCGACCGCCACUCAUAAGGAAGACAAUCAAUAAAUAAAUCAUGCUCUGACUUCAUCACAUAACGGUUCACCAUACGUGCAUGCUACGGGAAUCACAAACUUUAACACAAGUAUUUCUCAAAUUCAGAACUACUCCACUAGCAUGACUCUAAUAUCACCAUCUUCAUAUCUCAAAACAAUCAUCAAGUAUCAAACUUCUCAUAGUAUUCAAUGCACUUUAUAUGGAAGUGUUUAUUAUACCCAUCUUGGAUGCCCAUCGUAUUAGGACUAAAUUCAUAACCAAAGCAAAUCACCAUGCCGUUUAGGACUCUCAAAAUAAUAUAAGUGAAGCAUGAGAGUUCAUAUAUUUCUUCAAAAUAAAACCACCGCCGUGCUCUAAAAGGAUAUAAGUGAAGCACUAGAGCAAAUGACAAACUACUCCGAAAGAUACAAGUGAAGAUCAAUGAGUAGUUGAAUAAUUAUGUAACUAUGUGAAGACUCUCUAACAUUUAAGAGUUUCAGAUCUUGGUACUUUAUUCAAACAGCAAGCAAAACAAAAUAAAAUAAAAUGACGCUCCAAGCAAAACACAUAUCAUGUGGUGAAUAAAAAUAUAGCUCCAAGUAAAUUUACCGAUGGAUGAGGACGAAAGAGGGGAUGCCUUCCGGGGCAUCCCCAAGCUUUGGCUUUUGGUUAUCCUUGAAUAUUACCUUGGGGUGCCUUGGGCAUCCCCAAGCUUAGGCUCUUGCCACUCAUUAUUCCAUACUCCAUCGAAUCUUUACCCAAAACUUGAAAACUUUCUUAGUAUUAUUUGAGAAUAUCCAUUUUUUUAGUAGAUUAUUGCAUAGUAUUCUUUUUCACUUAAAUGAAUUUUUGUAUUUGUAAUUCAUUGAUAUUGCAAUUUGAAUAUUGCAAUAAUUUAUAUUGAAAAGACGAUAGCCAAUUUAUUGGCUAAUUCGAAUUCGUCUCUACAAUUCGUAAAAUUCUUUCUUAUUUCUUAUUGUUGAAAUCCAAAAUUAAAGUCUCUUGGCUCUCUUCACGCUUUCUCACAAACAGAUUAAAAAAUAGAUUUUUAUUUUUUAAGUUUGGAUAAACCAUUGCCACAACACAAAACUUAACAGAAGAUCUCGUGAGCUCCGUUAGCGAAAGAAAACAAAACACCACUUCAAGGUACUGUAAUGAACUCAUUCUUUAUUUGUAUUGGUGUUAAACCUACUGUAUUCCAACUUCUCUAUGGUUUAUAAACUAUUUUACUAGCCAUAGAUUCAUCAAAAUAAGCAAACAACACACGAAAAACAGAAUCUGUCAAAAACAGAACAGUCUGUAGUAAUCUGUAACUAACGCAAACUUCUGGAACUCAAACAAUUCUACCAAAAUAGGACGACCUAGAUAAUUUGAUUAUUGAUCUGCUGCAAUUGUAAUCAGUAUUUUAUUACGUCCUGGUGAUUUUAAACAAUUGUUUUCGUGAACAGAAGUUUCUGGAAUUUUCAGCAAGAUCAAAUAACUAUCAUCCAAGAAGAUCCUAUAGGUCUUACUUGGCACAAACACUAAUUAAAACAUAAAACCACAUCUUAAUAGAAGCUAUAUGAAUUAUUUAUUACUAAACGGAACCAAAAAGCAAGAAACUAAAAUAAAAUUGAGUUGCCUCCCAACAAGCGCUAACGUUUAACGCCCCUAGCUAGGCAUGAUGAUUUCAAUGAUGCUCACAUAAAAGAUAAGAAUUGAAACAUAAAGAGAGCGUCAUAAAGAAUAUGACUAGCACAUUUAAGUCUAACCCACUUCCUGUGCAUAGGGAUUUUGUGAGCAAACAACUUAUGGGAACAAGAAUCAACUUGCAUAGGAAGGUAAAACAAGCAUAACUUCAAGAUUUUAAGCACAUAGAGAGGAAACUUGAUAUUAUUGCAAUAUGUAGAAGCAUAUGAUCCUCUCUCAUAAUAAUUUUCAGUAGCAUCAUGAAUGAAUUCAACCAUAUAACCAGCACAUAAAGCAUUCUUUUCAUGAUCUACUAGCAUAGAAUUUUUAUUACUCUCCACAUAAGCAAAUUUAUUCUCAUCAAUAGUAGUGGGAGCAAACUCAAAAAAAUAACUAUCAUGUAAAGCAUAAUCCAAUUGAAAAUUAAAAUCAUGAUGACAAGUUUCAUGGUUAUCUUUAUUCUUUAUAGCAUACGUGUCAUCACAAUAAUCAUCAUAAAUAUGAGGCAUGCUUUCAUCAUAAUAAAUUUGCUCAUCAAAACUUGGGGGACUAAACAUAUCAUCUUCAUCAAACAUAGCAUCCCCAAGCUUGUGGAUUUGCAUAUCAUUAGCAUCAUGGGUAUUCAAAGAAUUCAUACUAACAACAUUGCAAUCAUGCUCAUCAUUCACGUAUUUUAUGCCAAGCAUUCUAUGUAAUUCUUCUUCUAGUACUUGAGCACAAGUUUCCUUCCCAUCAUUUUCACGAAAGACAUAAAAAAGAUGAAGCAUAUGAGGCACCCUUAAUUCCAUUUUUUUGUGGUUUUCUUUUAUAGACUAAACUAGUGAUAAAACAAGAAAUAAAAAGAUUCGAUUGCAAGAUCUAAAGAUAUACCUUCAAGCACUCACCUCCCCGGCAACGGCGCCAGAAAAGAGCUUGAUGUCUACUACGCAACCUUCUUCUUGUAGACGUUGUUGGGCCUCCAAGUGCAGAGGUUUGUUGGACAGUAGCAAAUUUCCCUCAAGUGGAUGACCUAAGGUUUAUCAAUCCGUGGGAGGCGUAGGAUGAAGAUGGUCUCUCUCAAACAACCCUGCAACCAAAUAACAAAGAGUCUCUUGUGUCCCGAACACACCCAAUACAAAUGGUAAAUUGUAAAGGUGCACUAGUUUGGCGAAGAGAUGGUGGUACAAGUGCAAUAUGGAUGCUAGAUAUAGGUUUUUGUAAUCUGAAAAUAUAAAAACAGCAAGGUAACUAAUGAUAAAAGUGAGCGUAAACGGUAUUGCAAUGAUAGGAAACAAGGCCUAGGGUUCAUACUUUCACUAGUGCAAGUUCUCUCAACAAUAAUAACAUAAUUGGAUCACAUAACUAUCCCUCAACAUGCAACAAAGAGUCACUCCAAAGCCACUAAUAGCGGAGAACAAACGAAGAGAUUAUGGUAGGGUACGAAACCACCUCAAAGUUAUUCUUUCGGAUCGAUCUAUGGACGGGAACAAGCGAACAUGAGGGCCGCGCUCACAGUGGCACGGGAGCUGCUGCAAUGCCGACUGAUGGAAGCGGCCGAGAUGCGUUGCUGGAGCGCAUUGCCGAGCUGUUGGACACCGCGGCCGGGGGUACGCCGCCGUUCUACUCCUUGCAUACGCCUCAGGUUGUACCCGGAUCGCACGGUGGGCCUCGUCGCGCCCGCGUGCUCCCGGGCGCACCAGGAGGUUUCGUCGACAUCAACGUGACCAGCGGCGCCGGACACCCAACCGCACCUAUGCCUCCCACGAUGGGCGCAGGCGUGAGCAUUGCCACCCACGGUCCCGGAAGGAUGCCGCCCUACCAUCCUCAGAUCGGCGCGCCGGGCCGGGCAAUAUGGAGCGCGGGGCACUUCAGCGAGGUUUCCGGUGUGACGGCUCCGGAGGCCUAUGUGCCCCGCAUGAUGGACCAGGAGUACACGCCGGAAGAUGACCCCGGCACGUUCCUCGAGCCGGGUUGGGAAGAGGAGACGUUGGAAGUUGAGGCCUUCCACGAGCCACCCGGGAACCUCACCGACCAUGCCGGCGACAACAGCUACAGGGUACCACUAAUCUCUCAGGAGCAGGCUUACGCUAACCAUGGGUCGCAAGUGAAUCAGGUCACAACGAUGGACGAUGGCCCCAGCACGGCAGCCCCCCUUCCACCAGGGGAAGCGCACUAGGGAUUGCGUGGGAGGACUCGGGAGCAAGGCCCCUCCCCGCAUCGCACAGAGCAAGGCGUCACCCGGAGGUAGGCCCUCUGUCGGGGAGGCACUGGCGAGCCUUCCCCUCGGCAGAGGGCCCAUGGCCGCCGAGGGCGCCGCUAGCGUCCCCUUUGCCCCCUGGCAUCGUCCUGGUUUCCGGACGCCCCAACAGUGGUCGAGGGUGGCGCAAGGUAGGGCCCUCGUCUGGCGAUAUGAAGCAAGGCUCACGCCUGUGAAGGUCUCCGCUCGUGACACUCUCACGUAAUAAUGAGUGGGGUUGUACACGCCCCGGAGUCUCCGGAGUGCCGCCCUCGGGCCUUGGGGGCUCCCGCCCACGUCUUAGUGGAAGCACCAUGCUCCGUGCUGGCCAAUGACACUGUCCCCCAAUGACUAUGCUCACGGCCAAUGAAAGCACUUAGCUCCGCGCUGGUGAGAAGACUCGAAGACUCCAAGACAAGAAGACUAGCUAGGUGCCAGAUGCGGCUAUUUGCUUCUGGCCUCUCUUUUUGAAGCUUGGAUUUGCAGCCUUUGAUCUUGGAUUUAAAGUUGCGUUUCGAUUUCAUGGGAAGCAUUCUUUUUCUCUCGUGUUAACUCAAUGAGUUUCUCGAUUCGCGCAUUGUUUUGAGAUUUUGUGCCCGUUGCCCCCCCCUCUCGGAGCGCCUCCCGAGCGGGGGCUGGCAGCGGCGUACGUGCACCAUGCGCGUGUCCCGUCCUCUCUAGCGCUCGCUCCUCGCGAGGCCCUCUCGGGUUGGCUGGCGGACCCCUCUGAAAACUAAAACCUCGUGAGCUCGCAAAGGGACUUCCCCCAGGAGAAGUUUGUAGCUGCCAAGUCAGCCCGAAGCCCGACCGGACAAAAGUAAGUCACCACAGUAAGUUACGGCGGCAAACCCGCAAGGGGGAUCGCAAGCACACAAGAGUGUGUUCUUUAACCUGGCCUAAGGAGCAAAGUGGUGGUCUAUUUACAUGAGGGGCUCCCCCUCCACAAAAUGCUCUUACAUCGUGAGGGGCCGUACCCAAGCUGUUGUGUGUAGGUUCGAAGUAAGGGAGCACGGGCUCAGUCGGAUAUGUCGCUCGCCUCCUCAUCUCCUGAAUCGCUUCCAGACAAGCUGCCGGCACCAUCGCUGUCGUUGUCUCCACCGUCAUCAACCACGUCGCCCUCAUCCGCUGCGACCACCACCGUGUCGUCAUCAGAAGCAAAGGCCCUAACAAGGGCAUCCACAUUGUCGUCCACCCAGUGCGCUAGGUUGUCCCGAAUGACCUCAGGCACUGGGGCAAUGGCGGCGUCGAAAUUGAAGUCAGGAUUGGUGUUCAGAAGGUGGCUGAAGACGCGAGAGAAUGCGCGCCCGAGGAGGCCCUGGCUCUUUUCAUCCACAAGCUCGUGAUCCCUCUCAGCUCGGCUCUCCAGGCGCGUGACAAUGUCGGUGAAGAAGCGAAGAUGGCUGGCAUAGUCCUCGGCAUGUCCGUGGGGAGCGUGUUCAUCGCAGAUGGUACCAAGCGCCUGAUUGACUCUCGUCCUGAGGUCCCGAAGCAUGGGAACAUGCUCACGCAGUAGCGUCUGCCGGCGAAGCGCCUCCUCCUUGCUCUGCUGCGCGAAGGACUCGGCGCUGGCAACCCGCUGCUAAAGGGGGAGAAGCUCGGCACGGGCGGAGGCCAGCUCGGCCUACACAGAGGUCAGGGCGGUCGAGGCGGCUUUCUCAUUCUGUUCCGCUUCAGCCAGCGCUGACUUGAGGGCAGUGGUCCUGCCCACAGCUUCGGCCUCCACGAGCGUCAGCUUCAGGUCAUGCCUGCCAGCAAAGACUGCACGAGCCUCGGCCACCCGGCGAUCGACCUCCUCCUGAGACUUGGCUUCACGCUGAUACGUCUCCAAUGUAUCUAUAAUUUUUGAUUGUUCCAUGCUAUAUUAUAUUCUGUUUUGGAUGUUUAAUGGGCUUUAUUAUACACUUCUAUAUUAUUUUUUGGGACUAAACUAUUAACCGGAGGCCCAACCCAAAUUGCUGUUUUUUUUGCCUAUUUCAGUGUUUGCAGAAAAAGAAUAGCAAACGGAGUCCAAACAGCGGGAACGUGAUUUCCGGAACAAACGUGAUCCAGAGGACUUGGAGUCUACGUAAAGCAAUCAACGAGGAGGGCACGAGGUAGGGGGGCGCCCACCUCCCCCAGGCGCGCCCUCCACCCUCGUGGGCCCCUCGUUGCUCCACCGACGUACUUCUUCCUCCUAUAUAUACCCAUAUACCCUGGAAACAUCAUAUACGGAGCCAAAACCCUAUUUCCACUGCCGCAACCUUCUGUACCCGUGUCCAUCUUGGGGCCUUUUCCGGCGCUCCGCCGGAGGGAGCAUUGAUCACGGAAGGCUUCUACAUCAACACCAUAGCCUCUCCGAUGAUGUGUGAGUAGUUUACCUCAGACUUUCGGGUCCAUAGUUAUUAGCUAGAUGGCUUCUUCUCUCUCUUUGGAUCUCAAUACAAAGUUCUCCUCGAUCUUCUUGGAGAUCUAUUCGAUGUAAUCUUCUUUUGCGGUGUGUUUGUCGAGAUCCGAUGAAUUGUGGGUUUAUGAUCAAGUUUAUCUAUGAACAAUAUUUGAAUCUCCUCUGAAUUCUUUUAUGUAUGAUUGGUUAUCUUUGCAAGUCUCUUCGAAUUAUCAGUUUGGUUUGGCCUACUAGAUUGAUCUUUCUUGCAAUGGGAGAAGUGCUUAGCAUUGGGUUCAAUCUUGCGGUGUCCUUUCCCAGUGACAGCAGGGGCGGCAAGGCACGUAUUGUAUUGUUGCCAUCGAGGAUAAAAAGAUGGGGUUUAUAUCAUAUUGCAUGAGUUUAUCCCUCUACAUCAUGUCAUCUUGCUUAAAGCAUUACUCUGUUCUUAUGAACUUAAUACUCUAGAUGCAUGCUGGAUAGCGGUCGAUGUGUGGAGUAAUAGUAGUAGAUGCAGAAUCGUUUCGGUCUACUUGCCGCGGACGUGAUGCCUAUAUACAUGAUCAUACCUAGAUAUUCUCAUAACUAUGCUCAAUUCUAUCAAUUGCUCGACGGUAAUUCGUUUACCCAUCGUAAUACUUAUGCUCUUGAAAGAAGCCACUAGUGAAACCUAUGGCCCCCGGGUCUAUUUUCUUUCAUAUUAAUCUCCCGACAACUAGCUAUUUCUAGCGUCGUUUAUUUUGCUUUCUUUACCUUUACUCUUUAUCAUAAAAAUACCAAAAAUAUUAUCUUAUCAUCUCUAUAAGAUCUCACUCUCGUAAGUGACCGUGAAGGGAUUGACAACCCCUUUAUCGCGUUGGUUGCGAGGUUCUUAUUUGUUUGUGUAGGUGCGUGGGACUCGAGCGUGGUCUCCUACUGGAUUGAUACCUUGGUUCUCAAAAACUGAGGGAAACACUUAUGCUACUUUACUGCAUCACCCUUUCCUCUUCAAGGGAAAACCAACGCAGUGCUCAAGAGGUAGCAAGAAGGAUUUCUGGCGCCGUUGCUGGGGAGUCUACGCACAAGUCAAGACAUACCAAGUACCCAUCACAAAUUCUUAUCCCUCGCAUUACAUUAUUUGCCAUUUGCCUCUCGUUUUCCUCUCCCCCACUUCACCUUUGCCGUUUUAUUCGCCCUCCUUCCGUUCGAUCUUGUGUUACCAUGUGCCUUCUAUUUGCUUGCAUCUUCGCUUGCUAAAAAUCUAUUGUUAUGGAUCCUCAUCCUCUUGCUAAUCUCUUUAAGAGAUCCAAUUAUGAUGAACCCAUUGCUAGUGAGUUGAGUCCACUAGAUUAUCUUUAUAAGGUUUUGCUUGAAAUUCGUGAAUCUGAAAAUUGUGAUAAAGUACUUUAUGAAGCGAUUCACGAUAGAUCUUUGAAUAAAAAGCAUGAUUGCAAUGAUUUUAUUAUAAAUUCUAUUGAUGUAAAUUGUGCUAAUAAUAUGCAAAACCCUAAGCUUGGGGAUGCUAGUUUUGCUAUGGCUACUAUUUGUUGCAAUGAUCAUGAUUGGGGUGAUUCUUCUUUUGAUCUUGAGAAUUUAUUUAAGCCCCAUGAUGAAUAUGAGAUUGAUAAUAGUGUUUGCAAUAUUAUUGAAUGUGGGUUUGGAAGAGUGUUAACUUUAGAUCCCACAUAUUUGGAGAAUGUUCAGUCUUAUGAAUUUUUUGAUGAAAGUGGGUUUGGAGAGGUCAUGACUUUAGUUAAUGAUAUUCCCACUAUUUCGGAAGAGUGUCAACUUUGCAUGCAUGUGGAUCGUGUUGAAAAUAUUUUAUAUGAUAGCUAUAUUGUUGAAUUUGAUUAUGAUCCUACAUGUAAUUAUUAUGAGAGAGGAAAAUAUGGUUGUAGAACUUUUCAUGUUACAAAAUUACCUCUCGUUAUGUUGAGAUUGCUAUUGUUUCUUUCUUCUUCCUUGGAUAUGGUAGUUUUUGCUUGCCUUGAUAAUUUCUUUGCUUAUAAAAUUCCUAUGCAUAUGAAGUAUGUUAGACUUAAGUGUGUUUGUCACAUGUUUUAUGAUGCUCUCUUUGUGCUUCAAGUGUUGUCUUUCAUGUGAGCAUCAUUGAAAUCUCAAUGCCUAGCUAGGGGCGUUAAACGAUAGCGCUUGUUGGGAGGCAACCCAAUUUUAUUUUAGUUUUUUGCUUUUUUGCUUCUGUUUAGGAAUAAAUAUUUUAUCUAGCCUCUGGUUAGAUUUGCUUUUAUAUUUUAAUUUGUGUUUGUGCCAAGUGAAACCUAUAGGAUCUUCUUGGAUGAUAGUUAUUUGAUCUUGCUGAAAAUUCCAGAAACUUUCUGUUCACGAAAACAAUUGUUAAAAAUCACCAGAACGUGAUAAAAUAUUGAUUCCAAUUGCAAUAGAUCAAUAAAAAAAUUGUACAGGUUUUCCUAUUUUGGUAGAAGUUUUUGAGUUCCAGAAGUUUGCGUUAGUUACAAAUUACUACAGGCUGUUCUGUUUUUGACAGAUUCUAUUUUUCGUGUGUUGUUUGCUUAUUUUGAUGAAUCUAUGGCUAGUAAAAUAGUUUAUAAACCAUAGAGAAGUUGGAAUACAGUAAGUUUAACACCAAUAUAAAUAAAGAAUGAGUUCAAUACAGUACCUUGAAGUGGUGUUUUGUUUUCUUUCGCUAACGGAGCUCACGAGAUUUUCUGUUGAGUUUUGUGUUGUGAAGUUUUCAAGUUUUGGGUAAGGAUUUGAUGGAUUAUGGAACAAGGAGUGGCAAGAUCCUAAGCUUGGGGAUGCCCAUGGCACCCCAAGGUAAUCUAAGGACACCAGAAAGCCAAAGCUUGGGGAUGCCCCGGAAGGCAUCCCCUCUUUCGUCUUUGUCCAUAGGUAACUUUACUUGGAGCUAUAUUUUUAUUCACCACAUGAUAUGUGUUUUGCUUGGAGCGUCUUGUAUGAUUUGAGUCUUUGCUUUUUAGUUUACCACAAUCAUCCUUGCUGUACACACCUUUUGAGAGAGACACACAUGAUUCAGAAUUUAUUAGAAUACUCUAUGUGCUUCACUUAUAUCUUUUGAGCUAUAUAGUUUUUGCUCUAGUGCUUCACAUAUAUCUUUUAGAGCACGGCGGUGGUUUUGUUUUAUAGAAACUAAUGUUCUCUCAUGCUUCACUUAUAUUAUUUUGAGAGUCCUACAAAACAGCAUGGUAAUUUGCUUAAGUUGAGAAAUUAGUCCUAAAGUGAUAGGCAUCCAAGAUUAGUAAAAACUUUCUUAUAAGUGCGUUGAAUACUAUGAGAAGUUUGAUGCUUGAUAAUUGUUUUGAGAUAUGAAUAUGGUGAUAUUAGAGUCAUGCUAGUUGAGUAGUUGUGAAUUUGAGAAAUACUUGUGUUAAAGUUUGUGAUUCCCGUAGCAUGCACGUAUGGUGAACCGUUAUGUGAUGAAAUCGGAGCAUGAUUUAUUUAUUGAUUGUCUUCCUUAUGAGUGGCGGUCGGGGACGAGCGAUGGUCUUUUCCUACCAAUCUAUCCCCCUAGGAGCAUGCGCGUAAUACUUUGUUUUGAUAACUAAUAGAUUUUUGCAACAAGUAUAUGAGUUCUUUAUGACUAAUGUUGAGUCCAUAGAUUAUACGCACUCUCACCUUUCCACCAUUGCUAGCCUCUCUAAUACCGCGCACUUUUCGCCGUUAUCAUACACCAACCAUAUACCUUCCUCAAAACAGCCACCAUACCUACCUAUUAUGGCAUUUCCAUAGUCAUUCGGAGAUAUAUUGCCAUGCAACUUACCACCGUUCCGUUUGCUAUGACACGCUUUAUCAUUGUCAUAUUGCUUUGCAUGAUCAUGUAGUUGACAUCGUAUUUUUGGCAAAGCCACCGUUCAUGAUUUUUAUACAUGUCACUCUUGAUUCAUUGCAUAUCCCGGUACUUCGCCGGAGGCAUUCACAUAGAGUCAUAUUCUUGUUCUAAGUAUUGAGUUGUAAUUCUUGAGUUGUAAGUAAAUAAAAGUGUGAUGAUCAUCAUUAUUAGAGCAUUGUCCCAAGUGAGGAAAGGAUGAUGGAGACUAUGAUUCCCCAACAAGUCGGGAAGAGACUCCGGACGAAAAAAAGAGAGAAAAGGCCCAAACAAAAAAACAAAAAAAUGAGAGAAAAAGAGAGAAGGGACAAUGUUACUAUCCUUUGACCACACUUGUGCUUCAAAUGUAGCACCAUGAUCUUCAUGAUAGAGAGCCUCCUAUGUUGUCACUUUCAUAUACUAGUGGGAAUUUUACAUUAUAGAACUUGGCUUGUAUAUUCAAUGAUGGGCUUCCUUAAAAUGCCCUAGGUCUUCGUGAGCAAGCGAGUUGGAUGCACACCCACUUAGUUUCUUUUGUUGAGCUUUCAUACACUUAUAAGCUCUAGUGCAUCCGUUGCAUGGCAAUCCCUACUCACUCACAUUGAUAUCUAUUGAUGGGCAUCUCCAUAGCCCGUUGAUACGCCUAGUUGAUGUGAGACUAUCUUCUCCUUUUUGUCUUCUCCACAACCACCAUUCUAUUCCACAUAUAGUGCUAUGUCCAUGGCUCACGCUCAUGUAUUGCGUGAAGAUUGAAAAAGUUUGAGAACAUCAAACAUAUGAAACAAUUGCUUGGCUUGUCAUCGGGGUUGUGCAUGAUUAAAUACUUUGUGUGAUGAAGAGAGAGCAUAGCCAGACUAUAUGAUUUUGUAGGGAUAACUUUCUUUGGCCAUGUUAUUUUGAGAAGACAUGAUUGCUUAGUUAGUAUGCUUGAAGUAUUAUUAUUUUUAUGUCAAUAUUAGACUUUUAUCUUAAAUCUUUCGGAUCUGAAUAUUCAUACCACAAAUAAGAUAAUUACAUUGACAAUUAUGCUAAGUAGCAUUCCACAUCAAAAAUUCUGUUUUUAUCAUUUACCUACUCGAGGACGAGCAGGAAUUAAGCUUGGGGUGCUUGAUACGUCUCCAACGUAUCUAUAAUUUUUUAUUGUUCCAUGCUAUAUUAUAUUCUGUUUUGGAUGUUUAACUGGCUUUAUUAUACACUUUUAUAUUAUUUUUUGGGACUAACCUAUUGUGGCACCCCGGCUCAGAGAAAACCGGAACGCCCCGUAUUCCAGCCCAGAGAUCGAGGUGAAGUCUUGUAGAAUACGGCAAUGCUUAGCAUAGAACAAACCAGCUCUCUAGUACAACACGAAUAUGAAUACAAGGGUUCCGAUAUUACAAUGAAUAACAUCGGUACGACGACACUACGCCAACCACGGUUGCUCUAUACAAGCAGCAUAACAACUCGAAGCAGCGGAACAACUACUGGCAGCGGAACUACGAACGACGAUGAUGGACUCCAAUCCGCAGGGACUCUGGCUGGAACGCUUAUCCUAGAUCGCGUACAUAGGAAUCACACCAAACAAGCAAGCAAUCCAGGCACGACCUGCAAACUGGCAUGACACGCCAGAAGCAUUCAAGACAAACAACAGCAUGGCAUCAACAUGAACAUAAUAUCGCUAGAACAAUAUGAUCAUGGCAUGAACAUAUAAAUAUGAUGAUACUAGCAUGCAACAUGAUGACACCACAUGCACCAUUUAUUCUGUUCGGGUUACCUCGUAACCAUCACAUGCAUCACUUACCAACCUCGGACAUUACACGAUCAUCUCAGGAUCAAAUCAAGCUUGGUAUAAACAAUACAGUAGUAAUCAUCAAAUGACCACAAGGAGCUUAAUCUUUACCCACGAUUCUCGCACAACAUCACGAAUAUCCAACAACUCGGUAUCCUCGAUACCACGGUGAUCAUUCCGGCGAUCACAACCAUGACCAACACUUGGUCUCAAACGGUGAUCUUUCCGGCGAUCACAACCAACUUAUCUCAUCAUAUAACUGGGGUUGUUAUUAAGCACAUUAUUAUUAUUACUGUUGACUCACAGUGUGACCGACACGAAUUGGGCCCUUAUCCGCGGGCGCGGCUAUCGAUAGAUUUAAUAUACACUCUGCAGAGGUUAGUACAUUGUACCCACACUACGGAACCCAUGGCCUCACACUCCCAUUCGGAUGGACCAAUGGCGUUCCGACAAAACCGAUCUACUGCCAUGACACUCUCCCGGCCACUCCGACUCACUCCCCACUGGGCUAGUCCUAGGUGGCCCCGUGUCUACCAAAGACACAACGACCGUCGUCGUGGCCAAACAUAAAUGGUCCCAAACGGGGACCCGGAUCCAUAACAACAACAACGGGCACACAAGGUUAUGUCUGCUUACCGGGCCAGGGUACCGCACGCCCAUAACCUUCCCUCGUUGGAGGCACCGGCGAGAGGCACGACAAUAGACCCAGUUAGGACCUUCCCAUAAAGGUAAGCGUGGUUGCACUGGUCAGUUUGAUAUGGUGGCACCAUGACUCAGCCAACAGUUGUUCAAUUUCAAUUUAAUCUAGUUAAACUUGAAUGAAAAUAUGCUGAGCCAUGAUAAAAUACAUGAUGCAAUUACAAUGCAUGAGCAUGAUAUCAACAUAAUCAUGAGAGAACCACAUAACUAUCCACCAUAUCAACAAUGAAUCAUAUCUAACUAAGCAUGGCAUACUGACUAGCAUGAACAUCAUAAGUACAUACUUCUCCGAAACAUAGCAUGACCACUAGCAUCAACAAAAUAUCAUGCAAGAACAUAUCAACAAUGCCAUCAUGCAAGCAUUUAACCAACUGGAUGCAAUGGAACAUGUAUAACAACGGUACUCGGGACAGAUGGCCGUCAUGCACCGAAAACCAUCACCAACAUCAACAUGUACUACUAGCAAGCAUAAGCAUAUGAAAGGAAUACUAGCAACUAGGAGAGCAUGACAACCAGGUGCAUAACCACAUAGCAAGAAAGUAAGCACUAACCAAGAAUCAUUACUGAAACAAUGAUAACCAUAUUUUAAAAAAAGCAAACAUUUAAUAAAUAUUCAAUUUGAAAACCAUGGCUACUGCAUGACUAUCAUGCAAGUGGAUAUUGUGGCUUGCCUGGGGUGGAAGAAUACACCGGGAAGAAGUGCGGUGAAGCCGCGAAAAGAUUUGCCGAAAACAGUUCUCUCCCAGAGGGGCUACUUACGUGCAAGGGCAAAAUGGUCAUUUUCAGAAUGUUAAAACAUACUGAAAAUGAUACCAACAUAACGGGCUCGACGAGACGAAGAAGUGGGCUUUGUAAUCAGCUCAUUUGAAGUUAGGCUCAAAAAGAUAUAAGAGUUUUUCUGCCAGGGACCUAUCUGUAAUAAAAUCAUCACAAACAGGCCCUCAGCAGGAAAAACAGAACACGCCUUUUCUGAAAAUACGUUUUCCAGAGAGGAAAACACAUUCUCGCCCGAAGAAGAAAUGGAAUACGCUUUCGGUUAAGGGAAAGCGCAUUCCGGGAAAGAUGCGGCCACUUAUCCACGUCAGCGGAGGCGGGGCCGGGGCUUAUCACGCUGACACGCGGGGCCCGCGGCUAGCUGGCAGGGAGGGCAUCGUCUCCUUCCUCUCCUCGCUCACGCCCGCACCUGGCCGAGGCAGAGCCAGCGCCGACGAGGCCUGCCGGCGCUACCGGCCACCGCAGGCGGCGCCCGACCUAUCCACGGAUGCAGGGGAACGAGGCGGAGGCGACCCCGGGGGUUGUAGACAAUGGGGAGCUCAGGAACGGCAGCUGCAUUCGCCGCAGCGGACGGCCGGCGUAGGUGAAGAUGGAGCCGAGGCGGUGGUGGAUCCGCCGAUGAAGGGAGCUAAGGGAGAGAUGCGCCGGGGAGUGGGUGGAGCUGUGGUGGUGGAGAGAUAGGGAGGGGAUGCUUCGCUCGCUCGAAUUCGAGCAGAGGCCAUCGGCGGCCAAGGCGGUCAUUGGAAGUGAGAAGAGGCUCUCGGGCUCUGGUGAGAGGCUGGGGAGGGCUAAUGGAGUGUGAGGAUGACGAUGAGAUGCUCGGUGGAGGCUCGGGUGGCCUUAUAUAGGCAAAGGGAGGAGGAGGCGAGCUGGCGUCUCCGCGGACACGUGUCCGGCGCCGCAGACGCGUGCCCACACUCGCGAGCUCAGAGGUAGACGACGUAGGAGGAGCAGUGGGGGCUCUCACGGGGCAGAGGAGGCCAAGGGACGUAGGGGAGAAGCGGCCGAGGAGAAAGACGACGGUCGGCGCACUAUGCUCUCGUGGGCGUUCGGCGGCGAGCGUCGGUGAGGAAGCGGACGGAGGGGAGAGGGGUCCAGGGGAAAGGCGACGACGCGGGCCAGCUGCUGGACACGCUCACGCGUGCGAAGCCGACGAGAGGGGGAGGGGCCCGAGCAAGAAGCCAUCCAGGGCGCGGCCAACGGCAGCAGAGCGCGCGCACUGUUAUGCCAUUAACGCGGUCACCGCGUGCACUGACAUGUAGCGGGGGCGAUGGACUGGAACGGGUUGUCUAGUGGUAAGUCCUUCCUGGGUAGGUUCCUACUGCGGUGGUAGCUCCGUUAAAGACACUGUGGUUAAAUGGUAAGUGAGCUCUGAAGUUUACUGCAGUAAACUUGAUCAUGAAACAGUGAUCAACUGAAGUGAGAUUAGAGGCAAACGAGUUGUCUGGGGUGAUUAGCUUAGGAAGAACUACCAUACUGGGGAGUUUGGCAGGAAAUGGACCAAGAUUUAAUGCACUUGCUUUGCAACUGCAUAAUCUGGUCCAGAAACUUGAUCAGGAAGGUGCACUCACAUGGAGUGUCAAAUUGAGCUCAAAUUGGGCAAGGCAGAGUCAUUUGGUCCUAUGAAGAUGCUGAAAAAGUCUCAUACCAGUUGGCCAAGCCAAACUGCUACUUGCUUCACAAACAUCUCCUUUGGACAAAAACUUGCAAAAAUUCUAGAGGAAUAAUGGCUUGAUGAACCAUGCCCAAAAUGGGUGGAGGUAGGUUAUAUGGAUAAUAGAAGGCCUAGAAAAUUUGGCAGCCAUAAUGGAGCAAGAUAAAAUAUACUUGCUUCACAAACUGAAAUUUUGGACAGAAUCAAAGAAUUGAAGAUGAGCUCACAUGGAGGCAUGACUUUAGCUCUACUUUGGUGGAGGGCUAUUAUAUGAUCAUAUGAGGGAUCAUGCAAAAUGGCAACUUAUUUGGAUAUGCCUAGCUUGCACCUCCUUCACAAAGCUUCUUUCUAGAUAGAAACUUUGGAAAAUCAUAAUUAAAUAAGUACUAGGCAAAUGAGGUUGCAUUUUGGCAUGUGGCAAUGAUAUGGACAGGAAAAGGUGUCCAAGGAGUUUGAGGUCAAUUGGGAAAAGGAAAAUAGCACUUGCUUCACGAUGUGCCAUUUAGGGCAGAAUAGGAAAUGAAUUAUUUGAGCAUGAUGAUAAACAUGAAAAAUGAAAUAUUUUGCCAUAUUUGAUAAAUAUAUGACCCAAACAAUUUAUGAGAAUUAUUUGGGAAUUUUAGGAGUGAUGGAAAUAAAGGUUGCUUCACAAAGCCACGGAAAAAGAAAACUCAAGCAAAAACCUCAGAAAAACAAAAGAAAAAGAAAGGGCCAAAAAUCAGGCUGUCACACCUAUUAACCGGAGGCCCAGCCCAAAUUGCUAUUUUUUUGCCUAUUUUAGUGUUUCGCAGAAAAAGAAUAUCAAACGGAGUCCAAACGGAAUGAAACCUUCGGGAACGUGAUUUUCGGAACAAACGUGAUCCAGAGGACUUGGAGUCUACGUAAAGCAAUCAACGAGGAGGGCACGAGGUAGGGGGGCGCCCACCUCCUCCAGGCGCUCCCUCCACCCUCGUGGGCCCCUCGUUGCUCCACCGACGUACUUCUUCCUCCUAUAUAUACCCAUAUACCCUGGAAACAUCAUAUACGGAGCCAAAACCCUAUUUCCACCGCCGCAACCUUCUGUACCCGUGAGAUCCCAUCUUGGGGCCUUUUCCGGCGCUCCGCCGGAGGGGCAUUGAUCACGGAGGGCAUCUACAUCAACACCAUAGCCUCUCCGAUGAUGUGUGAGUAGUUUACCUCAGACCUUCGGGUCCAUAGUUAUUAGCUAGAUGGCUUCUUCUCUCUCUUUGGAUCUCAAUACAAAGUUCUCCUCGGUCUUCUUGGAGAUCUAUUCGAUGUAAUCUUCUUUUGCGGUGUGUUUGUCGAGAUCCGAUGAAUUGUGGGUUUAUGAUCAAGUUUAUCUAUGAACAAUAUUUGAAUCUCCUCUGAAUUCUUUUAUGUAUGAUUGGUUAUCUUUGCAAGUCUCUUCGAAUUAUCAGUUUGGUUUGGCCUACUAGAUUGAUCUUUCUUGCAAUGGGAGAAGUGCUUAGCAUUGGGUUCAAUCUUGCGGUGUCCUUUCCCAGUGACAGCAGGGGCGGCAAGGCACGUAUUGUAUUGUUGCCAUCGAGGAUAAAAAGAUGGGAUUUAUAUCAUAUUGCAUGAGUUUAUCCCUCUACAUCAUGUCAUCUUGCUUAGAGCAUUACUCUGUUCUUAUGAACUUAAAACUCUAGAUGCAUGCUGGAUAGCGGUCGAUGUGUGGAGUAAUAGUAGUAGAUGCAGAAUCGUUUCGGUCUACUUGUCGCGGACGUGAUGCCUAUAUACAUGAUCAUACCUAGAUAUUCUCAUAACUAUGCUCAAUUCUAUCAAUUGCUCGACAGUAAUUCGUUUACCCACCGUAAUACUUAUGCUCUUGAGAGAAGCCACUAGUGAAACCUAUGCGCCCGGGGUCUAUUUUCUAUCAUAUUAAUCUCCCAACAACAAGCUAUUUCUGGCGCUGUUUAUUUUGCUUUCUUUACUUUUACUCUUUAUCAUAAAAAUACCAAAAAUAUUAUCUUAUCAUCUCUAUCAGAUCUCACUCUCGUAAGUGACCGUGAGGGAUUGACAACCCCUUUAUCGCGUUGGUUGCGAGGUUCUUAUUUGUUUGUGUAGGUGCGUCGGACUCGAGCGUGGUCUCCUACUGGAUUGAUACCUUGGUUCUCAAAAACUGAGGGAAACACUUAUGCUACUUUACUGCAUCACCCUUUCCUCUUCAAGGGAAAACCAACGCAGUGCUUAAGAGGUAGCACACGCGCACCGACGGCAUCCUCUGCUUGGGCGACCUGGCGCUCCCUCGUCUCCAACCGCUCGAGUUCGAGGCUGCGCUCCGUGGCCUCCAGCAGCAGUGCUUCUUCGCGCUUCAAGAUCUCCUCCUCGUCGGAAGGUGCGCCCUUCAUCAAUGCUAAUGCGGCCUUGCGCGUCUCCACAUGCUGCUCCAAGGAGGCGUUCAAGGCCUGGAGCUCCCGCCUGCGCUCCUCGGCAAUCGUGCGGCGACAGUCUGCCUCCCUGGCCUCCUCGAAGGCUCGGGCGCUGGCCUCGCGCGAGGUCGCCAGGGAUGCCUCGGCCUUCGCAUUGGCGUGCUGGUGCUGAAGGCGGCCGAGGUUGAUAGCCACCUUCAAUUGAUGCCACUCCUCCACCAGUCGGAGACCCUCGGCCUCAAGGCACGCGUCAACAUCCACGAGUUCUUCGCCGAGCCGGCUCAUCGCGCACAUUGCCUCCUGAAAGAGCUCGUGGCGGACGACACUCCGCUCGUGCGCAAACUUAAGCGUGCAACCGGGUCUGACCCCCGCAGCGGGGGUUGCCGGCGGGAUCUGAAGCGGCUCACCCCCUUUUAGCAGGGGGCUGGGGGCUGGAGCCUCCCGGGUCGCCGAUCGGGCUUCGGCAGGGGCCCGGAUGGGUUGAGACUCUUUGCUUGAAGAAGAAGCCAGGAUCGAAGUCAUCCAGCCGCCGUCCAUAACCAGAGGAGGAGCCCUUGGCACACUUGCCACACCCCAGGCGAGGCCAGGAAGGAGAGACGGCAAAGGCGCGGGUUCGAGGCGCCAAUCCAGCGUGUUUGCCUCUCCGGCCGACCUCGCGCCGAGUGCGGCAUGCUGGCUUGGGGCGCUCAAGGGCAGCGGGGGAUUCGAGGCAGGAGGAGGUUGCUUCCCAGGAGACUUCGCGGCCUUAGCAGAAGGGACCCUGAGAAGCCACUGUCAGGAGGGGAAGCAUCACUCGAGAAAUUACAAAGAUAAGGUACUCACACGUCUAUGGCGAUAUACUUCCUCUGCUUCAACGGCCGGAAGGCAUCACUGCUGCACCUUGGAGACCCUUUCCUCUUGCGGAGCGCAUCGAAGUCCAGACGGAGCCGGCCGAAGCAUUGGACACGGCAACCAGCGCGGGGCGCGGCUAGUGAGGCGCCCGAGGAGACGACCUCGGGAGUGCUGGGCUGAGGGGAGCCCUCGGGCUCCGCCUCAUGAUGACCUGCUAAGACCUCGGAGUCUUCGGCCUCAGGAGCAGCGGAUUGCAUCGCCCCCUCAGCUGUCACCCCAAGGCAAGACUUACGGGCUCCCGGGGAUGGCACCUCGAGAGCCUCGAGCGGUGUCGAUGCCUCAGCACCCGCUCCUCCGGCCUUCAGUGGUGCUCGCCCCCCUGCAUCCACUCUUGGGGUAAGUUUGAUGCUGGCGGCAAGGAGAGGGACAACGGAGACAGGGUUCUCGCGGGGCCCUUCAAGGUCGACUGGACGCAGCCCCCAUUCAUCGAAGGGGGGCAUCUGCCCCGUGAACUCCACCCUGUUUGAGCAGCAAUACAAAGACAGCCCUCCUGUGGCAUAUCGGCUGGCAAGGGGUUGCCCGUCAGGACCUCGAGCACCGUUCUUCGUGCCUCGGGCGGAAGCCCCGACUCCUGAAGCCUCAUGCGAUCCAGGCCACCGAAGAGGGCCCACAUCGGCCUGGAAUGGCGCUGGAGUGGGGCGAUGUGUCACAACCCUAGAAUACCUGAGUGAAAUAGUUGCAUCUGCACUCAUGCAUCAUGUCUAAAAUUUCUGAAAGUUGAAUUGAGGUUAGUUGAAACCCUCAGAAAUCACUUCAGAAAUAAUCAGCAUUAAAAUCUUUUCAAAGAAGUCCAAGAAAAAUGUUCCUCUUAGUCUCUGAAAAUAUUGGCAAGAGGUAAAACUCAAAACAAUAUUUUUGGAAUCUCAGAGAUAUUUAUUUUGGGCCUUUGAAUUAAAUCAAUAACAUAUUUGAGUUGAAUUUAUUUCUGUUAUAUAAGAAAUACAGUUCAAGUAUUUUUGUAAGUUUGCAUGUGACCUUGGACUAGCUCCCUGAGCUCACAUAAAAAUUUUACAGAAAGUUUUAAAAUGGUUUGGUUUGAAAAUCAAAUCAAAACAAAGAAAGAAAAAUAGAAAACAGAAACAGAAAAGAGAGAGAGAGUUACCUGGCCUUACCUGGCUGGCCUAGGUCCUGUGCAGCCCAGCUGGCGGCCCAGCCCGCCUGGCCACCUCCUCCUGUCGUCUUCCUCCUUGCCAGGAGGACGGGCGCGUGCCCGAUGCGCGCGCACCGCCGUGCGGCCACCUCCUGCCUGCUUGCUCGCUGCUGGAGACGGCCCCGAGCACCACGCACCCCCCGGACCCUCUCGUUCUCUCCCGUGCUCAUUCUCUCCUAUGCCACCUUUUCUCUCCCGUGACCGAAUCCACCAUCACCGCCGUUCGCCGUUGCCGCGGCCACAGCCACCGCCUCGCCAGACCGAGCUGCUCCCGAGCUCCGCCACGACGUCGUCGUCCUCCCCACCUACUCACGAGAUGCCGGACUCCCCGACGCAUCGUCCCCGACGUCUUCUUCUUCCUCGCGCCACCGAGAUUGCCGGCGACCUCCCGUCGUCACCAGCCCCUCCCCGAGCACGCCGAGGCCUCCGUUAAACUCGCUGUGAGCUUCUGCGUCUUUCCCCUUCUUCCCCGAUCUCAUUCAUGUCUUGUAGCCGCCGAUUCCACCGGAGCCGUGAGCUCGGCUCCGCCGGCCAUGUCGCCGCCGUGGCCACCAUCACCUAGAGCUACAACCAAGCGCAUAGCCGUGCUCAGCGCAAUGCCAGAAGCCCGAAACCCCCUCCAGUUGCUCCUGCCAUGCACGGCAACACCGGAACCGCUGAGACCCUAACUCCGGCCGCCGCCUUUGAGCUCGCCGCCGUCGAUAUAGAUCGCCCCCGGCGUAACUGACUGCACCACUCGAUGCGCGGGAUCACCAGCUGUCCGUAGGUGGUCUCCUCCGUCCAUUUGGACACCGGAGCGCGAAACCCGCAGCUCUCCGCCAUGUCUGGCCCCGCCGGCAUCGAGCCGGCGGCAGGUUUUGACCCAGUUGACCCGACUUUGACCACCGUUUGACCACGAGUGGGUCACUGACGUGGGGGCCAGGGCCCCUGUUUAAUAAGUGUUAGGUUUAAUUAGUGCUAAUUAACUUAGUUAAUUAGAUGAGCCACUGACAUGCGGGCCCAGCCCCGCUGACAUUUUAGUUAUGGCUAGUUUAGCACUAAUUAACUCAGUUAAUUAGCUGAGUCACUGACUAGUGGGCCCAAAUGGUCUGGUUUGACCUGGGCUGGCGCCUUUGACUUGCUGACGUAGUGAUGAUGUCACUCUGACGUCACAAAGCCUUUUCUAGAAUUUAAACAAAUCUAAAUGAUUUAUUUAUUUUCAGAAAAUACCAUAAACUUCUAAAAAUCAUAUAAAUUCAACCGUAGCUCAGAUUGAAAUAAUUUAUAUAUAAAAAAUGAUCAGAAAAAUCCAAUCUAUCCAUCUGUACUGGUUUCAUGCAUGAUAGAGCAACUUAACCUUGCUGUUUAGAUGAAACUAGAUGAUGCACUUAUAUGAGGUCAUAUUUUGGGUUUGCAUUUGAAUCCUUGAUUCAAAUGAACUCAAACCACCCUGUUUAUAGCUGCAGUAGACAAAACCCACUCAUCUUGCCAUGUCAUUUGCAUGCAUCAUAUUGUUGCAUAUUGCCAUGUAUUGAUUGUGUUACCGGUGUAAUCUCCGUGGUAGGUUCUGCUCCCGAGGAUAUUCACGAGUAUCCAGUUGCAGGACAGUACCCCUCGACCACUCUGUCUAGCAAGCAAAACCCCCUUGUUCAUUCUGAUACAAUACCACUCUCUCACUCCUGCUCUCUUUUACUGCAUUAGGACAACAACGAUUCAACUGUUACAUGUUGCGGUAGUUGAACCCCUUUCCUCUGCAUGACCUGUCAUUGCCACAGUAAAUAGAUGAAACCCACUAGCAUGAGUAGGAGUUGUUUGAGCCCUGAUGUGCCUACUCAUUCAUGCUUGUUUGUCAUGCCUGCUAUUGCUUAGAGUUGUGUAAGGUCUGAUUCAUCGGGGAUGAAUUGGAAAGUUGUGAACAUGUCCUACUGUGUGUGAGCUAAGUGUGUGAACACGAUUUGGUAAAGGUAGCGGUGAGAGGCCAUGUAGGAGUACAUGGUGGGUUGUCUCAUUGAAGCCGUCCUCAGGAACUGAGUUCUGUGUUUGUGAUCCAUGAAACAGCUACUACCACACGUUGGGCCCUGAAAUAUGACCCCGCUCGACUUCUUAACCACCCUAGUCCUCUGUCCAGGAGUUGCAAGUAGUUUCUGGUGUUUGUAGUAUGCUGGAGGCCGUGCGCAGCGCUGACCCGAGGGGUGGGCUGUGAUGCGGUAGGCACGUGGCACGGUGUACCGGGCGCCCGUUUGGUGUCUCGGGAACCCUGCACACAUCGUUCGGGGCCGUAUGUGGAAACCUCGGCCAGACUCCCUGCGGAUGGAACCUGGAUAGGCGAUAAACCUGGACUAGAGACUUGAGUGUUUAGGUAGGUCGUGGUCUACACCCACGUCGGCUUUCGCUUGAAGUCUGCCGAGCACAUGUCGUGUGCAGACGCUAAGUGGUGGAAACAUGUGUGAAGAAGUACACCCCUGCAGGGUUAUAAAUGAUCUAUUCGAAUAGCCGUGUCCGCGGUAAAGGACUUCUGGGUUGCCUAUAACAGUUCAUAGAUAAGUGAAAGUGGAUACUCUAAAACUCGCACGAUAAGCGUGAGUGCUAUGGAUGGCCUUCUCGUAGGGAGACGGGAGCGAAUCCAUAGUGGUGUAUUGAUAUGGUGAAUAUGUGGACUCGUGUGCGCCACCUCAAAAGAGUUACUUGCAGUCAUAGUUUAGGAUAGACACUGAGUCAAAGCUGGCUUGCUACAGUCAAACUCCACCACCCCCUUUGUUGAUACUGAUGCAUAUGUAGCUAGUUUUUAUGUAAGUCUUGCUGGGUACAUUUGUACUCACGUUUGCCUAUUUUAUGUUUUGCAGAGAGAUAUCAGUCUUGCUAGUAGUUCCGUGUGGACUUCGAUGUUUAGCUUGAUACCUCAGCUACGAUCUUGUGCCCUUGGCAGGAUCUGGUAGAUAGUCAGGCUUCUCAGCCUUUUUCAUUUGUAGAUGUCUGUACUCAGACAUGUUAAGCUUCCGCAUGUGCUUUGACUUGUAUGCUCUGAAUGUUAGGUCAUGAGACCCAUGUUUGUAAUAUCUCGCUCCUCGGAGCCUAAUGAAUAAAUACUUUGAGUCGUAGAGUUUUGUUGUGAUGCCAUGUUGUAUUUACACAUAUCGAGCAUAUUGUGUGUAUGAUUGAAAUGCUUGGUAUGUGUGGGAUCCGACAACCUAGUUGUUUAUCCUUGGUAGCCUCUCUUAUGGGGAAAUGUAGUCUUGUGCUUCCAUGAGCCAUAGUAGUCCGCUACAGCCCGGUUCACCGGAGUCCUGCUAGCCCAGCACUACUGCUCCAGAACACUUGACUGGCCGGCAUGUGAUUCACUUCGUUCCUGUUUCUGUCCCUUCGGGGAAAUGUCACGCGGUAACAUCUGGAGUCCUGCCUAGCCUGCUACAGCCCGGUUCACCGGAGUCCUAUUAGCCCAGUUCUACAGCCCGGAUUCGCACGCUGCUGACCGACAUGCUCGAUGUUGAUUUAUGUAUGCCUGUCCCCGUAAGUUAGUGCCACUUUGGAUUCACGACUAGUCAUGUCGGCCUGGGUUCUCUGUCAUAUGGAUGCUAGCGACACUAUCAUAUACGUGAGCCAAAAGGCGCAAACGGUCCCGGGCCAUGGUAGGGCAACACCCGUGGGAGUACCGUGCGUGAGGUCACAAAGUGAUAUGAGGUGUUACCGGCUAGAUCGAUGUGACUUGAAAUCGGGGUCCUGGCACGACGUGGCGUCGGAGGAACUCCUUCAUCACCAUGGGUGCUGUCACACCGAGAUCUUUCAGCCUCUUCAACCGGAGCCAGACGAAGGCAAGGCGGGGGUCCGGAAGCUUCUCGUGGCCCCAGCCGGUGUUGGGAACGGCGGGCGCCAAGGGGGGCGAGAGAAAGGGGCUGAGCACACCACGUCCACAAACACCCACCGUGUCUGAAACUCGCUUGUGGAUGGUGGAAGCUCAAAAUCAAUCCCCGAGCCAGCCGUCGCAGCCACGACCUGGAAGCUCAAGCAUCCCGAGCACUGCCGAGCGCAGGUCAGGUGCAGCGAGAAGAAAUGGCGCAAUAGGGCCACGGAAGGGGGAAUGCCCACCAUGGCCUCGCAGACGAAAGCAAAAACAGCAAGAAGGGAGGCUGAUUGGGGAUCCAGGUGCAACAUAUGGAUCUGAUAGCGGGAGAGCACGGUGUUGAAGAAGGCGGACAAGGGAGGAACCAGGCCAGCCCACAAGGCGUCGAUGAAGAAUUGGACCUCGGUGGCUUUCCUGUCGACGGAGGUGCGGGAUGCGGGCCAGGCCGCCGUCCUCCCCCAUUCGUUGAAGUCAGCGGCGAGCGCAGGGCGCACCUUGUCCAUGGCUUGCUGGUUGAGCACCAACGACCGGCCUACGGUGGGUUCAACGGCCGGGGGUGGCCCGGCUGAAGACUGAGACUUCUUCUUUCCCUUCUCCGUUCGCCGGGGCGCCAUGGCAACAAGGAGGGCCGAGCUCGAGACAGCUUGGAAGGUUAUUGUCUCAGAAAGGCGGGAGAGUUGGAGGGGCGCGUCACCAGCAAUGGGGGAUAACUGUGCAAGUCACGGUGGCCGCCUAGCCAGGCGGAUGUCAAGACUGCGUCGGAAAGCGGAGACGCCCACGUCCAAUCAAUCGCCACGCGUCAGACGGGGCCGCGGGCUGUUGGGGCCCGCGGUGUUCCACAUUUUCCCUUUGACUUCGCCUCGAAGCCAAGUCCGAGCGUGCCUUGGGCCUGAGGGCAACUGUCGGCGUCCUGGGAACGGGGGUCCCCAGACUUGCCUGCCUGCAGCCCAUGGCGUGGCUCCAUCAGCGGCCCUGUAUGGCCCAUCUUCACCAGCAAACACUCAAGUCCCUCGCGUGGGGCCAAGCCUCGCGAGGCAGACGACGCAAGUCCUCCUCGGGGGCAGCCUCACCAGGCUGGCUCGCGAGGGGCGGAGAGAUCAAGGCAAGGGGCACCUCGCGAGGUUCCUGUGACGCAAGCCAUGACGACCGGGGCCAGGCAGGCGCCAGCGCGCGCAGUGUCCUCGUUUCCUCUUUGGUGCUAAAGAGGCAAGCGCAGGCGAGGAGUCCCGAGGCAUCAGGAAAAGGUUUCCAUAUCAGUGCAACGAGACCAAGACCAGCAGGACGGCAGGACAGAGGUCAUCGCGGAGCCCACGAUGGCGUCACCACCAGAGCCUUUGGCAGGCGAAGACCACCUUUAGUCAGGAUAACUUGUACUAGUUGUCUCCCUUCAAAUUUGGCCGUUGUGGGAUCCUUUCCCGCCUAAACAUUUGCGAAGAGGACCAGGGCCUCUAUAAAUAGGGCUAGCCACCACCAUAGGGAAGGGGAUCGAGGGGUCGAACAUACCCGAGGAGAUUCAGAUCAUCCCCAGCCACACAAACUCACCAACCACAAGAGCAUCUCUUCUCAGGAGGUUGUUCUUCCCUUGUAACUGUUCAUCCUCAGCCCAAGAGGCAAUCCACCACACCACACUGGAGUAGGGUAUUACACCACAUCGGUGGCCCGAACCAGUAUAAAUCUUGUGUCCCUUUGUUCUGCGGGUUCGACGCGCUGAAGCUUUGAGAUCGCGGUGAGAGAGAGAGAGAGAGAGUGCUAGGGGGAGGAGAGAUCUUCGUGCGCACCCCAGUGUUCGAACCUCAAGGGUUUUGCCGGAACCCGAAAUCCGACAGCCUUGCAUGCCAGUUUCAUCCUCACUGGUCCCAACCUAAUGAGGGAGAGCUCAUCGACCACAAUCGGACGGCCCAACAUCUUGAACGCUUCCUUGAUACGCUCCAUCUUGCGGUGCUUCUCCGGGAUCCCAUGUAGGCGCACCCAUGCUUCAGGCAUAACCAAGGUGGGAAUCACCUCGUGCACCACAUCUCGGACCCGCGUAGUGAUGUCGUUGAUCGACGGGAAUAGCUUGCCACUUGACCUGGCCAUGUGAAGGAGAUCUGCGUACGGGAAGACCACCAUGAACUCGUUGUCCCCCACCUGGGAGAUCUGCCAGUCCCAGUCCCCUACCACCAUGUGCUUGAGCUCUUGUUUGAGGACUCGCAGGUUCAGCAAGCCCGGCUCAGCAGAGAGGAUGGAGGCGUUGACAGCAGAGAGCGGCCGCGGGCCCUCGGGCUCAUCCUCUUCUUCGAAGAGGAAUUCUCAGUAUGGUCACUCUACCAUUGUCACGUCCCCUCCUUGCGACUCCGACGCCAUUGCAGGUGGUGUCUGAUGAUGCUUCUCAAUCAGGGCGGCACAACGGGCGUCUUGAAAAGAAGAACGGUUCGUGUAAUAUAUAUCCUGACGGCAAAGCGAGCGGAAUACUGGUUGAUGAAGACCUUUGGAGAGUUUCCCAAGAUGAACAAAUAUGAGUUUGUGGAUAACAAGAUGAAACCUUAGCUCGAUAUUUACAACAAGCCAUUUUCUUCGCAGAGGAUCACGGCAAUUCGAGCUUUGGGAGGCGUUGACAGAAUGGCGAAUUUGGACCUGGCCAAGAUGGGAUAUUCCGAGGACCUGGGUUGUGCUUCACUUGAAAAUGUUAGUCCAUGAUUGUUGCAUGGAGAGAUGGAAAAUCUCUAGGUGGAUGAGAUCUUUGCUGGUGCUUGAUGCUGAGGGUCGUUUUGGUUACCUCAUGACUUGUCACCAGUGGUUUUGGGACUUGGCGCUCUUGUAUAAGGCUGAGACAAAUGUGUGUGUGUGCGCGCGCGCGUAUUUUCUUCUAAACUCUACCUCAAUCUUUAGUUUUCCUUUUGUGUCUUCUUUUUUAUAUUAUCAAUUUCGCCCUGUUUCGUCAAUUAACUGGGCAACCCUCCUCUCCUUGUAUGGAAAUAGCAGAUAUCAUGUCCUUGCCUUGACAAGUUGCUCCAUAAAAAGAAGUUCUCGCCCUUUUCUCUUAGGUCUUCUCCCCACCAUGUCCUCCCCGAUCGAGGCGACACCCUCCUAGCCUUCCCUCCCGGCGCUCCAAAUCUCUUUCGCUGCAGCACCCCCUCUCCUCAUCUGGGUUCCUCGAUCGUGCUUGCCGUCACCUCACAUCGGAAAAGUUGCUCAUGUCUAGUGACAUCAAGUGGGAGCUGCUGAGCUCGGAGAGCACCUGGACCUCGAUGUCGACCUUUGGCGUGAUACCACAAUGUGUCAGGAUUCGUUCUUGAGACUCGCCAUUGCGACCUAGAGGGAAUUGGUAGCCCCCUUGCGACGAGGUGUAGCAUGGGCUGCUCGAUAACUGGCACCGACGUCUUCUCCCAAGAGGCCCCCCGAGCCUUUUGAAGUGGGUAGCACUGUCAUCCCCACAACGACCGAAAGCAUCUUUCCUACGGUGUCUCUCAUGUUUCUUGAUCGGACGGCAUUAAAUCGGACCGCCGUGCAGCACAGGAGAGCAUCUUUGUUGGCCUUGGUCGUGUUCGUGUGGGGGAUCUAUGCUCGGUUCGUCCUUCACUUGUUUUAUUUUGUGAUUGUUCUAUGAUUCCGUUUCUUUUUUUUUUGGUCUUCCUUUCUCAGUGGAUCCAACAAAUAGUGAGACUAUUUCACCUAGAGUCGACACCAAAAAAAUAUGACCCCAUGAAAGAAUUUUCAAUUUGCUGAUCACAUUAGGUUGGUUUUUUUUGUGGAUGGAAAAUGCAAAAAAAACAUUUUAAUUCUAAUAAGUAGCUAACAAGAUCAAAAAAUCUUAGAAUUUGGCAUUAUCUUUGAUCAGUCAUUUAGUCGUGCAAAAAAGGUCUCCGUAUGUUGGAUAAUUUUUUUUGCAUUGUGCUUCACAUGGUAUCGGCUUUUAGGUGUCGGCAAAGUACUAGAAUGUAAUUGUGAUAUGAAGAGUGGCAAUAUGUAAAUUUAUCAAUACUAAUGUAAGUAUAUGUUCUAGUCUACUUUUUAAGCUACAUGUACAAACAAAAUAAGUGAUCAUUUGAAACCUCAUUGUUUGACUUGAAUGUCUAAGAAACAUCCUAGCAGAUCCACCCAUUACAAAGCAAAGUACAAGCACACUUUUGUCAAAUCUCGUAAGGCUUUUCAUCUAGCCAUAUUAUGAACCAAUGAAAAUUUUAACAUAUUGUUCUAUUUUGGACAAAAAUGCCAAAAAAAUAUUUUUAAACCCCAAAAAUUGCAAUGAGAUAUAAGAAAUCUAAAAUUUUGAAAUUGUCUCUAAUAUGUGUUUUAAGUCAUAUAGAAAAAGUUUGGAGUAUGUUGAAUGUAUAUUCUUGCAAGGUGCUUCGCAAGGUACUAGUUCUUAGUUACUAAAAAGAACUUAUGACAUGAUGAGUUGGCUAUAUGAUGUUAAACUCAUCAAUGCUAUUGAUAAAAAAAAUAGGGCUCACACCUCUCACUUGAACCCCAAAAAUAAUUUGUUCUCACUUACCAUCCCCUUCAGACUUGUGAUAUCCACUUAUAUUUUGAACCGUGUGAUUUCCACCAGCCGCGAGUGAUCAUAUCAGUUUUGGACAAUGUGGGUUUGAUGAAGUGGCAUUCACAUGCAUGUAUUAUGUCUGAAAUACCCCUGGUGAUACUACCAAUCUCCAGCGUGAACAGCUAGCUAGUCGUUCCAUGUCUGAUUCCAUUUUUCACUCUCUUUCUUCCUGGCAUUGGCAGUGAUAUGAUUUGAUCUCCUCUCUAGGUAGGCCGGUUGAGACUUUAGAGAGACCCGUGGUGCCUUUGCAGCAUGGAGAGAUGCUUACAUGGUUGAGGCAAAAGCGUGUAGUACACAGCCAUGACCACCGCAUCCAUCCCUUUGGCGUCCUCUUCCUGCAAGCGGUAUGCCCGGCCACAGCCAUGGCCUCCGUCCUUUCACGCUGUGUUUGUUGGUUCAAGCAGAAAUUUCGUGGAGCCUUCCUCGCCGUCCGCGUCUCUCCAUGAUUGAACAAAGUUUUUUUUUUUUUUGCGUGAGGAUUUAACAAGAGGAAGAGAGGAAUCACAACCUUAACUUUUUUUUUGCCGAAAGAUAACAAUCUAAACCUAGAGAGAUGUUUUUUUUUUCGGGGCUAGAGACAUGUAUAUAUAGUGGUCACCACUUACCAGGGCCUGUUGAUCAACCUAAAUGAAAAAAGAAGACUUGGGAGGUCUAUUUUGUGAAGAGGGAUCACAACCUAGAGAGGUCGAGAGCGCAUGGAAAUUUCAACAUGCCUCUACUGCAUAUAUAGGGGUCACUAGGGCAUGUUGCUCAAAUGCAGCUGCCUAGCUUUGGCUUGUACUAGUACAUCCAGAGACAAUACUGCAAAAUGACCGUAGCAAUGCCAGCUGCUUGCUCGCUUCUUCUACUUCUCCUUCUGGUGGCGCCAGUGGCCGCCGGGAAUCCCAAGCGGCAUCCCAUUCACAAGCCCGCCAGCAAAUGCGUCAUCAAAGGUGUCCGUUGGGCGAACUGGGAGCAGUUGAUGGAGGAGCAAGCCCCGGUCCUCGUCAUUGAUGAUCACCAUCACCAGCCGGGCAGCCCGGCGCACACGUACGGCGCCUUCAUCUUCGACCUCUCCGUCGGGCGGCAGGCCCUCUCUGUCGUCAUGGACAUCUCCAGCGAGCUCGUCUGGGCGCGGUGUGGACCCCGGCUCAGGCCCACGCGGCCACGCCCACCUUCUUGCCCCACCACUUCGGCUCCUUCGCCCCGGUCGCCCCCUGCCCAUCAUGGGUGCGCAACAACUCCGGCUCCUUUGGCCAGAUCCACUAUGCUGACCGGACUUGCCACGCCGGCGACUACAGCUGCGCAGCCCGCGGCCGGUACGUAGAGCACAUUUACGGCGCCGGCAACACAUCCGGCUACCUCGCCACCGACAAGUUCCGCUUGGGGAACACGAAGGUCAGGAGCUUGGUGUUCGGCUGCAGCCACAAGGUCACAGUGCCGGACAGCGUCGACGUCGCCUCCGGCUUCGUGGGAUUCAACAGAGGCCCCGUGUCCCUCGUCUCGCAGCUCCGGAUCUCAAGGUUCUCCUACUUCAUCACGCUCCCCGACGACCCCGACAACAACAAGGCCUUCGUUAGCUUGAGCUGGGCAGACCACGCCGACGCUAAGGGCAGCCACACGCCGCUACUGGCGGCCAGGCCCAACCAGAACCCUUACUUGUACUACGUCAACCUCACCGGCCUGCAGGUGGACGGGCAGCUCCUCACCGACACCCCGGCGGGGACCUUCGACGUCCGGGCGAACGGCUCCGGCGGGGUGUUCCUCAGCACCACCUCGAGGAGGCCGCGUACACGGUUCUGAGGCGGGAGCUCGUGAGCAGGGUCCGAUUGCAGGGCCUGGCUCCGGUGAACUCUACGGCCGGCCACAGCCUAUGCUUCCUCACGCAGCACUUCUCCAAGCUGAAGAAGGUUCCCAAGCUUGCGCUGGUGUUCGACGGCGCCGACGCGACGAUGGAGCUCAAGGCGCAGAACUACUUCUUCGCCCUUCGUGGCGGGCAGACGUGCCUGAGCAUACUGACGUCGACCACCGGCGAGUCCGUCCUAGGCAGCCUGCUGCAGACCGGCAGGACGAUGACCUACGACAUCCAUGGCGACGGC
rnacentral:lncRNA from 1 species